rnacentral:lncRNA from 1 species
UGUUUUUAUUUUUCUUCAAGAACCAUGCUAGAAUGAGAUAUCCCUUCAUUGAUUUAUAGAAUACUUCAUGUGCUUCACUUAAAUCUUUUAAGUAUGAUCUUAUAGAAUUGCUCUUUGUGCUUCACUUAAAUCUUUUGAGUAUGGUUUUAUAGAAUGCUUCAUGUGCUUCACUUAUACACUUUGAGCUUGGAUAUUGGUUAGUUGUAGAAUGCUCCAUGAACUUCACUUAUAUCUUUAGGUGUAUGAAUAAUUCUAUCAUUUAAAGUGGGUUUGGAAGAGUGUUAACUUUAGGAGUUAGUGAUUCCACUAUUUUGGAAGUGUUGAAUCUUAGUGUGAUAUUUAUGAAAGUGGAUUUGGAAGAGUGUCAACUUUAGCUAGUAAUGAUUCCACUAUUUCGAAAGAGGUUCCAAUUGAGUAUGAGAACAAAGUUGCUAUCCAUGAUGCUACUGAAGAUUAUUAUGAGGGAGGAAUACAUGCUUGUAGGAGUUGCAAUAAUAUGAAGUUUCCUCUCUAUGUGCUUAAAGUUUUGAAGUUAUACUUGUUUUGCCUUCCUAUGAUAGUUGAUUGUUGUUCUUAUAAAUUGUGUGCUCACAAAAUCCCUAGGCAUAGGAAGUAGGUUAUAUUUAAAUGUGCUAGUUAUAUUCUUCAAGAUGCUCUCUUUGUGCUUCAAUUCUUGUCUAUUAUGUGAGCAUCAUUGAAAUCAUCAUGCCUAGCUAAAAGGCAUUAAAGAAAAGCGCUUGUUGGGAGACAACCCAAUAUUUACCCUUAAUGUUUUUGUAUGUUUACGUGAUUAAGCUACUGUAGUAAUCAUGUUUUAUAGCUUUUGUUUCAAUAAAGUGCCAAGUGAGACCUUUGGGAAGACUUGGGUGAAAGCUAAUGUGAUCUUGCUGUAAAAAACAGAAACUUUGCGCUCACGAGAAUAGAUGUCACUUUUUACAGAAGAGUGAUAUUGAGUUGAUUCUUUUGGCAGAAGAUUAAUAGACAAAUUCCUCACGUCCACCGAUUUAUUUAAUAAUUUUUGGAGUAGCAGAAGUAUGGUUAUUGUUCAGAUCAUUACAGACUGUUCUGUUUCUGACAGAUUCUGUUUUCAUUGCAUAGUUUGCUUGUUUUCUAGUUUCUAUGACUUAUAUUCCUCAAUAUAAAUUGUAUAAAUGAUAUGGUAAAGUAGGAAUUGUGUGAUAACAAUUAUGAACCUUGUCUUUGACAGUACCAAAGUGAAUGGUUUGCUCUUUAUCAUACUAAUCUAUCUCACGAAGUUUGGUUAAGUUUUGUGUGAUUGAAGUUUUCAAGUUUUGGGUGAGAUAUCGAUAUGAGGAGAAUAAGGAGUGGAAAGACCCUAAGAUUGGGGAUUCCCAAGGCACCCCAAGGUAAUAUUCAAGGAAGACUCAAGCUCCUAAGCUUGGGGAUGCCCCGGAAGGCAUCCCUCUUUCGUCUUCAAAACUAUCGGUAUACCUUACUCGGAGCUAUAUUUUUAUUCGUCACGUGAUGUGUGUUUUGCUUGGAGCGUCAAUUUAUUUUGCUAGUAUUUGCUUGCUGUUAUGUAGAAUAAUGUUUGGCAUCUUUGUUUUCAAUAAAAAUGUCAAGGAUGGCCUUUUACCAUGCUUAUUUUGCAAGUAUACAUGUUGCUGUUUGAAAAAAAAAGUUUACUGCUGUCGCAAAAAUUCCUUAGAAAAGUCAGAAUGUUCUAAAAUGUUGAAACCUUUUGCAUAAUAAGAUCUGAUAAAUUUACUACAGUGGGAAUUUUCUUUCAUAAUUUUUGAAGUUAGGGAAGUAUGAUGAAUCUUGCACUCUUUACAGACUAUACUGUUUUGGCAGAUUGCUGUUAUGGUUGCAUUGUUUGCAUAUGUUUGCUUGUUUAAUGAUUCUAUUUGAGGAUAGGAGUGUUAAAUAUGCAGAGGCAUUUAGUAUGCAAUGUUGAAUAAUAAUAUUAGUAAUUUGUUACAGUACAAAAUGAUAAGGUUUUGCAUUGGUUUAUACUAACCUAUCUCACGAGUUCUUGUUGAGUUUGGUGUGUAUGAAGCUUUUGAGAUUUAGGAAACUGACGUAUAAAAGGAAUUAAGGAGACACAAAAGCUCAAGCUUGGGGAUGACCAAGGCACCCCAAGACAUUAUUUCAAGAAAUCUCAAGCAUCUAAGCUUGGGGAUGCCCCGGUAGGCAUCCCACCUUUUCUCUUCAACAACUAUCGGUUAGUAUAGGUUGAACCUAAGUUUUUGCUUCUUCACAUGAGUUGUGCUAUCCUUGCAAUGUCAUUUUAUUUUGUUUUGCUUUCUGUUUGAAUAAAAUCAUUGGAUCUGAAAUACUGAAUGAAAAAGAAUCCUCCCAUGGCUAGUUAAUAAUUUUACUACUCAGUGUUCUUCACUCAUAUCUUUUGGAGUAGUUUGUCAUUUGCUCACAUGCUUCAUGUCUAUCCUAUGAGUAAGUGGUUGAAUGAAUUGAAUGUCAUAAACCUGAACUUUUAUAUGUUUCAUAUGCUUAUAACAUGGUUAGUGACGACUUCACACAUAGAAAGUAUGAGGCAUAAAAGUUAUUGAGAGUUGGCAAACAUAGUUUUGGUCAUCGUUGCAAUUAAUAGGAAGUAAUAAGGAAAGAGAGGUUCACAUACAGAUAUAUUAUCUUGGACAUCUUUUAUGAUUGUGAAGCACACAUUAAGUAUGACAUGCUAAAACAGUUGACGUUGGACAAGGAAGACAACGUAAUGGUUUAUGUUUUCCGACAUCUCAGUUAAAGUAUAUUGUAAUUGACCUUCCAAACAUGUUGAGCUUGCCUUUCCCCCUCAUGCUAGCCAAAAUUCUCAACACCAAGUAGAGAUACUACUUGUGCUUCCAAAAUCCAUAAACCCAAUUUUGCCAUGAGAGUCCACCAUACCUACCUAUGGAUUGAGUAAGAUCCUUCAAGUAAGUUGUCAUUGGUGCAAGCAAUAAAAAUUGCUCUCUAAAUAUGCAUGACUUAUUAGUGUGGAGAAAAUAAGCUUUGUACAAACUUGUUGUGGAAGUAAUAAAAGCGACGGACUACAUAAUAAAGGUCCACAUACAAGGGGCAAUAUAAAGUGACGUUCUUUUGCAUUAAGAUUUUGUGCAUCAACCCUAAACGUGCAUGACAACCUCUGCUUCCCUCUGCGAAGGCUUAUCUUUUACUUUAUGUUUUUACUUUAUGCUUGAGUCAAGGUGAUCCUCACCAUUCCCUUUUUCAUUUUAUCCUUUGGCAAGCUCCUUAUGUUUGAAAGAUCAUGAUAUAUAUAUAUCCAAUUGGAUGUAAGUCAGCAUGGGCUAUUAUUGUCGACAUCACCUAAAGGUGAAUACGUUGGGAGGCAACACAAUAAGCCCCUAUCUUUCUCAGUGUCCGGCUAAAACUCCAUAACCACAAGUAUUGCGUGAGUGUUAGCAAUUGUAGAAGACUAUAUGAUAGUUGAGUCUGUGGACUUGCUGAAAAGCUCUAUUCUUGACUCUUUCUGAUGUUAUGAUAAAUUGCAAUUGCUUCAAUGACUGAGAUUAUAGUCUGUUAGUUCUCAAUGAAGUUUCUGAACCAUGCUUGAUAUUGUGACUUGCUUGUUACUUGAUCAUGAAAAGCUUUAUGAGAUGAGCUAUUGUUAUGAUAUGUAUUGAUGCUAGAAAAAGUGAUUGGAAUUGUCAUUGAUCAAACUUAAGCACUUACUAGCAUUCCACAUCAAAAAUUAUCUUUUUUAUCAUUUACCUACUCGAGGACGAGCAGGAAUUAAGCUUGGGGAUGCCUGAUACGUCUCCAACGUAUCUAUAAUUUUUGUUUGCUCCAUGCUAGAUUAUCUAUUGUUUUGGACUAUAUUGGGCUUUAUUUUCCACUUUUAUAUUAUUUUUGGGACUAACCUAUUAACCGGAGGCCCAGCCCAGAAUUGAUGUUUUUUUGCCUAUUUCAGUGUUUCGAAGAAAAGGAAUAUCAAAUGGAGUCCAAAAGACCUGAAACUCCACGGAACCCGUUUUUGGACCAGAAGAAGCCCAUGGAGUACUGGAAGCUCACCAUGGGAGUCCCGGGCAGCCCACGAGGGUGGGGGCGCGCCCACCCCCCCUGGGGCGCGCCCCCCUACCUCGUGGCCAGCCCGGAAGUCCACCGAUGUACCUCCUGCACACAUAUAUACUCUCAUACCCUAAAACUUCCAAAACGGAGAUUGGAUCAGAAGUUCCGCCGCCGCAAGCCUCUGUAGCCACGAGAAAUCAAUCUAGGCCCUCUCCGGCGCCCUGCCGGAGGGGGCCAUCAUCAUCGGUGUCCAUGGAGGAGUAUCCUGGAGGGGUCUUCAUCAUCAUGAAGGCCAAGGACCAGAGGGUGGAGGCCAUGGAGGAGGAAGCACAAGGGGGAGAACCUCUCCUCCUCUCUUCCGGUGGCGCCGGAGUGCCAUCGGGAGGGGAAUCAUCGCCGCGGUGAUCGUCUUCAUCAACAUCACCAUCAUCAUCACCAUCCUCAUCUCUUUUAUGCGGUCCACUCUCCCGCACCCUGCUGUAAUUCCUACUUGAACAUGGUGCUUUAUGCCACAUAUUAUGAUCCAAUGAUGUGUUGCCAUCUUAUGAUGUUUUGAGUAGAUAUAUUUUGUCUUUGCGUCGAUUGAUGACCUAGAUUGGUAUGAGUUGUAUGUUUUAUUUUGGUGCUGUCCUAUGGUGCCCUCCGUGUCGCGCAAGCGUGAGGGAUUCCCGCUGUAGGGUGUUGCAAUACGUUCAUGAUUCACUUAUACUGGGUUGGUGAGUGCCUGAAACACAAACCCGAGUAAGAGGGAUUGCUGUGUAUGGGAAUAAAGAGGACUUGAUGCUUUAAUGCUAUGGUUGGGUUUUGCCUUAAUGAUCUUUAGUAGUUGCGGAUGCUUGCUAGAGUUCCAAUCAUAAGUGCAUAUGAUCCAAGUAAAGUAUGUAAGCUUAUGCCUCUCCCUCAUAUGAAAUUGCAAUGAUGACUAUCGAUCUUGUUAACAACUGCUUAGGACAAUUCCGCACACCGAUCCACCAUUAUUCCACACUCGCUAUUUAUAUUAUUUAUUAAUAUAUUCUAACUUUAUGAUAACAACACCUAAUUUUCUAUUUUAGCUCUCUGAUUUCAUGCAAACUUAUCUUCUUCAUACCCACAACGUAGUUUUAUUUCCCGUUGCUAGUUGGAAGUAAACGUUCGGUGCACGUAGAGUCGUAUCAAUGGCAGAUAGGGCUUGAGAGAAUAUUGAUCUUACCUUUAGCUCCUUGUGGGUUCGACACUCCAUACUUAUCACUUCCAUCUUUGGAAAGUGCUACGAUGAUUCCUCGCACUUGGGGAUUAUCAGUGACGAUCUUGAUGUUCUACCGUCGCAGGGCUUCGCCUAAGCACUGCUAUAAUAUUAUCAAGGACUAUGGUGGAGGGGGGCACCGCACACGGCUAAGAGAUCGAGAGAUCAAUUUUUGUGUCCUUGGGGUGCUCCCUGCCCCAGUAUAUAAUGGAGCAAGGGGGAGGCCGUCCGGCCCUCUAUGGCGCGCCCCCAAGAGGGGAAUCCUACUAGGACUCCAAGUCCUAGUAGGUUUCCACCUAAAGGGAGAGAGGGGGAAGGAAGGAAAGGGAGAGGGAGAAGGAAAGGGGGGCGCCGCCCCCCUAUCCUAGUCCAAUUCGAACCAGAGGGGGAGGGGCGCGCGGCCUGCCCUAGGCCGCCCCUCUCUCUCUCCACUAAGGCCCAUCGAGGCCCAUUAGUUCCCCCGGGGGUUCCGAUAACCCUCUGGCACUCCGGUUUUAUCUGAAACUUCUCCGGAACACUUCCUGUGUCCCAAUAUAGUCGUCCAAUAUAUCAAUCUUCAUGUCUUGACCAUUUAGAGACUCCUCGUCAUGUCCGUAAUCACAUUUGGGACUCCGAACAAACCUAAUACUCUAGAUGCAUGCUGGAUAGCGGUCGAUGUGUGGAGUAAUAGUAGUAGAUGCAGGCAGGAGUCGGUCUACUUGUUGUGGACGUGAUGCCUAUAUACAUGAUCAUGCCUAGAUAUUCUCAUAACUAUGCACUUAUCUAUCAAUUGCUUGACAGUAAUUUGUUCACCCACCGUAAUACUUAUGCUAUCUUGAGAGAAGCCAUUAGUGAAACCUAAGGCCCCCGGGUCUAUCUUUUAUCAUAUAAGUUUCCAAUCUAUCUUUAUUUGCAAUCUUUACUUUUCAAUCUAUAUCAUAAAAAUACCGAAAAUAUUUAUCUUAUCUUAUUAUCUCUAUUAGAUCUCACUUUCGCAAGUUACCGUGAAGGGAUUGACAACCCCUUUAUCGCGUUGGUUGCGAGGUUCUUGUUUGUUUGUGUAGGUAUGAGGGACAUGCGUGGAGCCUCCUACUGGAUUGAUACCUUGGUUCUCAAAAACUGAGGGAAAUACUUACGCUACUUUGCUGCAUCACCCUUUCCUCUUCAAGGGAAAACCAACGCAGUGCUCAAGAGGUAGCACUCCGGCAGUUCGCUGCCUAUGAACUGCUUGUUCCUCUAGCACUCGUACCCUUGCAUUCAGCUUCUGCAGUUCGGUCUGCUCCAGCUUCCUCUUCCUCUCCCGGGUUUUGUAACCGCCUGCACCGGGAAACCCAACAUUCCAUGCAAUGGAGCCUGCCGUGCCUCGUGUUCGUCCAGGGUGCUCAGGAUUCCUGAGGGCCUCUGUGAGCUCGUUGUUGUCUCUGUCGGGAACAACGUCCCUUGCUGUGCUGUGGCGAUAUACUGCUGAAGCUUCUUGACGGGUAUUUCAAGUUGCUCUUCCGUCCAAGCGCACUUCCCUGUUUCAGGGUCCAAGGUUCCCCCAACCCCGAAGAACAAAGUCCUUGAACAGUUUAGCCAGUUCAAUGUCUCUAGUUCGACCCCUUUAUCAAGCAGGUCACACUCAGCCUUGUCCCACAACGGCCGGGCUUUGAGGUAGCCACCUAACCCCGUGCGAUGGUGAUGCUCCUUCUUUGCAGCAUCUAUCUUGUUUGUCCCUGACAUAUUCUUACUCUUCUCCGAUGUUUUGUAGGCCACAAAUGCGGGCCAAUGAUCUCUUCUCUUCUCAAAUCGACCGGUGAAUUUUGGAGUCUUCUCUUUGUCGACAAACAUUGAUUUCAACUCAUUCUUCCACCUCCUGAAUAGAUCUGCCAUCUUCUUAAGAACAUGAGCUUUGACCAAUGGAUCUAUAACUGGCUUAUCCGGAUCCUCCUCUUGAGGUAGGGUGAAAUUUUCCUUCAGCGCGGUCCAAGGAUCAUCUUUCUGUCUAUUGUUGACAUAAGACACUUGAGGGUCUUCAUUCUUAGGCUUAUUCCAUCGGUGGAUGCUAAUCGGGAUCAUGUCCCCAACCAGAACCUUGCACUGAGCAGAAAAUGCUUCCUUGGUCCGGCUGGCUUCAAUCAGUUGGCCAUCGUCUGCGAUUACUGUGAUCGUGAACCUUUUGUCCUGGCACAACUUUUUCUUUGGGCCUCGUCUCGUUACCGUAGUUUGGGUCGAUUCGGAGGGCUAGAAAAGAAGAAAGAAGAGUUAAUAUAUAUAUAUAUAUAUAUAUGUGUGUGUGUGUGUGUGUGUGUGUGUGUGUGCAUACCAAAACAAUUAAUGCAUCAAUUAGCUAGUCUGCAUAGGUUUAAUUAAUAUAUAUACCUCACCGGACUUUGCAACAGCUCCUUCCUCCGUUCGCUCACCAGAGCCGUCAUCACUAUCUACUUCUUCCACCGGCAUUCGGUCACCGGAGCCAUCAUGAUCAUGUCCUUCCACCUCCAUUGUUCGAUCACCGGAGCCUGCUUCACCCUCUCCUUCCAGACCAUCGGUGUCAUUGAGAUACGACAAGAGAUCACCUCCACCGUGGAUUAUGUCCCCCAACAACAGUUCUGCUUCCAAGUCUCGGUGCUCCAUAGUUUCUGGAAAUAUUACAACAUGGCAAUUAAUAUACAAACAUGACAGAUGGAUAUAUUAGUGGCAACCGUAAACCUAGCUAGCUCGACGCUUCUACGGUUUGUGGUGGCCUCGACAACGCUUCUAGGGUUUGGGGUGGCCUCAUCAGCGCUUCUAGGGUUUGGGGUGGCCUCGACAAUGCUUCUAUGGUUUCUCUCAUGAAUGUACGACGUCCGGAACAACAAGGGAUUUAACAAAAUGACCCCAUUCUGGAUGUGCAGAAAAUGGUCCCUAUUUUUCCUUAUCUCAUCUACCCUUCUAUAUGUCACGUUGUCUAGUGUCAAAGGAUUCAAGAAAACCAUGGCUUCAUCAUUAGCCGGAAGUAACAGGCGCAUGAUGGUAUGGAGCUCUUCAAAAUUAUUUGGAAUGGAGUCCUGAUAGGAUAAUUCGCUUCUUGGUAUGAAGUUCAGCAAGAGACUUUCGAAUAUCACUAUUUGGAUGGCCUUUGCUGAACUUCGUACCAAAAGGUGAAUUAUCCUAUCAGGAUUCAGUUCCAAAAUAAUCUUGGAGAGCUUCAUACCAUCAUGCACCUGUUACUUCCGGCGAAUUAUGAGACCAUGGAUUUCUUCAAUACUUUGACACAAGAGAACGUGCAAAUAUGGUAUGCUAGAUGAGAUCAGGAAAAACAUGGAUCAACUUAAUUAUGCACAUCCAUAAUGGGGGCAUUCUUGAUAAAUCUCUAGGGUUUGGGUGUCCUCGAGAGUUGGUCGAGCGAGAGAGGGUUGAUCGACCUCCCCCUCUCGACCACUCGGUGAUCCUCGACCCUCGACCCCGCCCCCUCCCCCAUCAUGUGGAAGUUAUCAAGGAGGUGGUAUAUCGACCCCCCCCCAUGUUGAAGUUAUCGGGGAGGGGGUUUACGGACAACGACAUACCCGAUAAAAAGUAAGAAGAGGAAGAAGAAGAAGAAAAAAAAGAGGAGAAGAAGAAAGAAAUAGAGGAGAAGACCGAAGAAAAAAAAGAAGAAAAAAAAGAGGAGAAGAAGAAGGAAUAGAGGAGAAGAAGAAAAAAUCCUCUAUUCCUUUGUCUUCUCCUCUCUUUUUUCUUCUUCUUUCUCUUCUUAUUUUUUUUCUCCUCUUCUUCCUCUCCUCUUCUUCUCCUUCUUCUUCUCCUUCUCCUCUAUUCCUAAAACUAAAAUAAACUAAACUAAAUUAAACUAAAACAAAAACUAAAAUAAAAUAAACUGAAUUAAAUAAACUAAACUAAAAGAAUCCUAAAACUAAACUAAACUUCUUCUCCUCCUUUUUUUCUUCUUUUUUUUCAUCCUAAAACUCUAUGAACAAAAUUACAACAGAAAAAAAAUCAUAAAAAUUUCUAUGAACAUAAUUCAACAGAAAAAAAUCAUAAAAAUUCUAUGAAAAAGUGACAUAUUCUUUGCAUAUGAACAUACAAACAUUUGCAUAUUCUACAAUAAUAUCACCAAAAAAAAUCUAUGAACAGAAAAAAUUCUAACUUUUGCAUAUUCUUUGCAUAUGAACAUACAUACAUCAUCAUCUACUACUACUACAAAUAAAAAAAUCUAUACUCUUUGCAUAUGAACAGGGGUNNNNNNNNNNNNNNNNNNNNNNNNNNNNNNNNNNNNNNNNNNNNNNNNNNNNNNNNNNNNNNNNNNNNNNNNNNNNNNNNNNNNNNNNNNNNNNNNNNNNNNNNNNNNNNNNNNNNNNNNNNNNNNNNNNNNNNNNNNNNNNNNNNNNNNNNNNNNNNNNNNNNNNNNNNNNNNNNNNNNNNNNNNNNNNNNNNNNNNNNNNNNNNNNNNNNNNNNNNNNNNNNNNNNNNNNNNNNNNNNNNNNNNNNNNNNNNNNNNNNNNNNNNNNNNNNNNGUGGAUCGGCGGCGAGUUCGGGGCAGGGCUGGGCACGCGCGAUGGCAAGGGCGGGGCAGGGCUUGGCGCGCGCGACGGCGAGGUCGGGGCAGGGCUCCGCGACGGCAAGGUCGGGGCAGGGCGCGUCGAGGUCGGAGCAGGGUGCGGCUAUGCGACGGAGACGGCGGACGGGGGAGUGGCAGCCUGGCGGCGUCGAUAACCUCGACGUCGUCGGGCGGCAACUGCCGAUGAAAUGUGAAAAAAAUGCUAGGUGCUGGUUUAUGUAGCAAGGACUUUGGUCCCAGUUCGUGGCACAAGCCGGGACCAAUGCCCCCCUUUGGUCCCACUUCGUGUCAGCAACCGGGACCAAAGGUCUGUUUUCAGCAGCCCAAAGGGCGGGAAGCAGAGACCUUUGGUCCCGGUUGGUGGCACGAACCAGGACCAAUUCGUCCCGGUUUGUGGCACCAACCGGGACCAAUGGCCUGCGCUUGCCAAAGCCAUGGUGCGGUGGGAUGUUUAAUCCCACCUUGCUAGCUGAGGAGCGGCCGCACCUGUUUAUAAGCGCUGCCCCGCCAUCUCUCUCGAACUCCUCUGAAGUACAGGCCUAUGGGCUUAAUCUUACACUGCUAUGCCUAUGGGCCUGCUGGGCCUUCUACGGGCAUCUAUCCUUGCCCAACUAGCUGGGUUUCUAGUCGUAUUCAGGCCGUGGAGGCCCAAUAGGUGGAAAGUUUUUCUGUUUUUUUGUUUUCUUUUUUGCUUUUUUGCUUUAUUUUUUUGUAGUUUUCCAGUGAUUCUUUUUGCUGUUAGGUCCCAAAAAUUAUAGACAUUCUGCUAGUGCCAUUAAUUUUCAAAUUUGAAUAGUUUAAAUUUGAAUUCUUUUAAAUGAGUGUGAAUCGCUAAUUUGUGAAUAACUUUACUAUAAAAAUAGAUUUUUGAGUGAUUCUUUUUCCUAGUAUUUAAUAUUAUUGUGUUUUGUCAUUAUAUUAAAUUUGUAGUUUUUAGGUUAUUUUAAAUGUCUAUUUUAAUCAAGAACAUAUUUUUUUAGUUUCUAUUAAAUUUUCUAACAAAAAAAUUCUUUAUGAAAAUUCUUUUUGCCAUUAAUGUUUUGAACAGAAAAUACUUUGAUAAUUUUAGAUGCAUAAAUUUUAUAUAAUUUUAAUUUAAAAAAUACUAGAGGUAUUCUUUUUGCUAUUGAAGAAUAUUAUAGUUUUGUUUUUGUUGAUCAUAACAGAAUAUUUUAAUUGAUUAUUUUAAGUUCAUUCUUUUUGCUAUUAGUUCAUUCUUUUUGCGCUAAAUGACCCUGCAAUUGAAUACACUACAAAUGAACUCUGAAAAGGUUGAAAGUUGGCAUGGUAUCAUCAUUUCAGCCACAUAGCAUGUGCUAAAAAGUUGACAUGGUUAGCCCAAAAACUGGAUGCACUUCAUUUACAAAACGGGCAAUCUCUUUCGAAGUAACAAGAUUUCAAACGAAAACUCAUUUGUUAUGAAGGGAUUUCAUUUUUUUUGAACUUAUUUGAACUCCAGACUUUUUGUGUGUUCAAAUUGCACCAUUCAAAGCCGCAUCAUCAAUUUUUAACCCUUUCUGACUUCAUUUGUUAUUUUUCAUGCAUUUACUAUUUUUGAGCUAUAUGACCCUGAAACUGAAAAGCACUACAAAUGAACUCUGAAAAGGUUGAAAGUUGGCAUGGUAUCAUCAUUUCACCCACAUAGCAUGUGCUAAAAAGUUGAGAGGCUUACGGCAAAAAUGGAUGCACUUCAUGUACAAAACGGACAAUCUCUUUCAAAGUAUCAGGGUUUUAUACGGUAACUCGUCUGUUACAAAAGGCAUUUCAUUUCUUCACAUGCAGCUGCAGUGAUAUUCUAGAUCAAAAGCAUCAUCAUAAUAGUUGUGGAGAGAAAGUCUUCACUUUUUCUACGCUUGUGUCCUUUGCUUAUUGCGCCGUAACCAUAGAUAUUCUUCAUCGCUUAACAGGGUGCUUGGGUCAGCCCUGACUUUGAAGGGAGGAAUUUCAUGGAACUUUUCAUAAUCUUCAGACAUGUCUGUCUUGCCCUCCGAUCCCAUGAUGUCUCUUUUUCCUGAAAGAAAUAUGUUGCGCUUUGGCUCAUCGUAUGAUGUAUUCGCUUCCUUAUCUUUUCUUUUUCUCGGUUUGGUAGACAUGUCCUUCACAUAGAAAACCUGUGCCACAUCAUUGGCUAGGACGAAUGGUUCGUCUGUGUACCCAAGAUUGUUGAGAUCCAUUAUUGUCAUUCCGUACUGUGGGUCUACCCUUACCCCGCCUCUUGACAGAUUGACCCAUUUGCACUUAAAUAAAGGGACCUUAAAAUCACGUCCGUAGUCAAGUUCCCAUAUGUCCACUAUGUAACCAUAAUAUGUGUCCUUUCCCCUCUUGGUUGCUGCAUCAAAGCGGACACCGCUAUUUUGGUUGGUGCUCUUUUGAUCUUGGGCGAUCGUGUAAAAUGUAUUCCCAUUUAUCUCGUAUCCUUUGUAAGGCAAUACAGUCAAAGAUGGUCCCCCGGACAACGAGUACAACUCAUCAAAAACAGUGUUCUCACGUCUAAGAUGUGUUUCCAACCAACUGCCGAAAGUCCUGAUGUGUUCACAUGUAAUCCAGUCAUCACACUGCUCCGGGUGUUUAGAGCGCAGAAUGUUCUUGUGUUCAUCGACAUACGGGUUCACCAAGGUAGAGUUGUGUAGAACUAUGUAGUGUGCUUGAGACCAAGAAUGGCCGUCCCUACAUAUUAUUGAGUCCCCUCCUAGCGUGCCUUUUCCAGUCAGUCUCCCCUCAUACCGCGAUUGGGGGAGACCAAUCUUCUUAAGGACAUGAAUGAAGUCAACACAAAACCCAAUGGCAUCCUCUGUUUGAUGGCCCAUGAAGAUGCUUCCUUCUGGCCUAGCGCGGUUACGGACAUAUUUCUUAGGACUCCCAUGAACCUCUCAAAGGGGAACAUAUUGUGUAGAAAUACAGGGCCCAGAAUGACAAUCUCGCCGACUAGAUGAACUAGGACGUGCAUCAUGAUAUUGAAGGAGGGUGGGAACACUAGCUCGAAACUGACAAGACAUUGCGCCAUAUCACUCCUUAACCUUGAUAGGAUUUCUGGAUCGAUCACCUUCUGAGAGAUUGUAUUGAGGAAUGUACAUAGCUUCACAAUGGCUAAUCAAACGUUUUCCGGUAGAAGCCCCCUCAAUGCAACCGGAAGCAGUUGUGUCAUAAUCACAUGGCAGUCAUGAGACUUUAGGUUCUGGAACUUUUUCUCUGGCAUAUUUAUUAUUCCCUUUAUAUUCGAUAAGAAGCCAGACGGGACAUUCAUACUGAGCAGGCAUUCAAAGAAGAUUUCCUUCUCUUCUUUGGUAAGAGCGUAGCUGGCAGGACCUUCAUACUGCUUUGGAGGCAUGCCAUCUUUUUCGUGCAAACGUUGCAGGUCCUCCCGUGCCUCCCGUGUAUCUUUUGUCUUCCCAUACACGCCAAAUAAGCCUAGCAGGUUCACGCAAAGGUUCUUCGUCACGUGCAUCACGUUGAUUGAAGAGCGGACCUCUAGGUCUUUCCAGUAGGGUAGGUCCCAAAAUAUAGAUUUCUUCUUUCACAUGGGUGCGUGCCCCUCAACGUCAUUCAGAACAGAUAGUCCGCCGGGACCCUUUCCAAAGAUUACUUUUAAAUCAUUGACCAUAGCAAGUACGUGAUCACUGAUGUCUACUACGCAACCUUCUUCUUGUAGACGUUCUUGGGCCUGCAAGUGCACAGGUUUGUAGGACAGUAGCAAAUUUCCCUCAAGUGGAUGACCUAAGGUUUAUCAAUCCGUGGGAGGCGUAGGAUUAGAUGGUCUCUCUCAAGCAACCCUGCAACCAAAUAACAAAGAGUCUCUUGUGUCCCCAACACACCCAAUACAAUGGUAAAUUCUAUAGGUGCACUAGUUCGGCGAAGAAAUGGUGAUACAAGUGCAAUAUGGAUGGUAGAUAAAGGUAUUUGUAAUCUGAAAAUAUAAAAACAGCAAGGUAACUAAUGAUAAAAGUGAGCGUAAACGGUAUUGCAAUGAUAGGAAACAAGGCCUAGGGUUCAUACUUUCACUAGUGUAAGUCCUCUCAACAAUAAUAACAUAAUUGGAUCACAUAACUAUCCCUCAACAUGCAACAAAGAGUCACUCCAAAGUCACUAAUAGCGGAGAACAAACUAAGAGAUUAUGGUAGGGUACGAAACCACCUCAAAUUUAUUCUUUCCAAUCAAUCCGUUGGGCUAUUCCUAUAAGUGUCACAAACAGCCCUAGAGUUCGUACUAGAAUAACACCUUAAGAUACAAAUCAACCAAAACCCUAAUGUCACCUAUAUACUCCAAUGUCACCUCAAGUAUCCGUGGGCAUGAUUAUACGAUAUGCAUCACACAAUCUCAAUUCAUCUACUCAAACCAACACAUAGAACCUCAAAGAGUGCCCAAAGUUUCUACCGGAGAAUCACGACGAAAACAUGUGCCAACCCCUAUGCAUAGGUUCAUGGGCGGAACCCGCAAGUUGAUCACCAAAACAUACAUCAAGUGGAUCAAUAGAAUAACCCAUUGUCACCACGGUUAUCCCACGCAAGACAUACAUCAAGUGUUCUCAAAUCUAUAAAGACUCAAUCCGAUAAGAUUACUUCAAGGGGAAAACUCAAUUCAUUACAAGAGAGUAGAGGGGGAGAAGAAACAUAAGAUCCAACUACAAUAGCAAAGCUUGCGAUACAUCAAGAUCGUGCCAAAUCAAGAACACGAGAGAGAGAGAGAGAGAGAGAGAUCAAACACAUAGCUACUGGAACAUACCCUCAGCCCCGAGGGUGAACUACUCCCUCCUUGUCAUGGAGAGCGCCGGGAUGAUGAAGGUGGCCACCGGAGAUGGAUCCCCCCUCCGGCAGGGUACCGGAAAGGGGUCCCGAUUGGUUUUUCGUGGCUCUGGAGGCUUGCGGCGGCGAAACUCCCGAUCUAAUCUCUGUUUUGGAAGUUUUAGGAUACGAGAGUAUAUAUGGGUGAAAGGAGUAUGUCGGUGGAGCUACAGGGGCCCCACGAGGCAGGGGGGCACGCCCGGAGGGGUGGGCGUGCCCCCCACCCUCGUGAGCACCUCCCGUAUCUUCUGACGUGGGGUCCAAGUCCAUCAGGUGGGUUUCCUUCCAAAAUAACUUCUCCAGUUGAUUUCGUUCCGUUUUGACUCCGUCUGAUAUUCCUUUUCCUCGAAACACUGAAAUAGGCAUAAAACAGCAAAUCUGAGCUGGGCCUCCGGUUAAUAGGUUAGUCCCAAAAAUAAUAUAAAAGUGGAUAAUAAAGCCCAAUAUUUCCUAAAACAGUAGAUAAUAUAGCAUGGAGCAAUCAAAAAUUAUAGAUACGUUGGAGACGUAUCAAGCAUCCCCAAGCUUAAUUCCUGCUCGUCCUCGAGUAGGUAAAUGAUAAAAAAGAUAAUUUUUUAUGUGGAAUGCUAGUUGGCAUAAUUUCAUUGUAAUUCUUCUUACUUGUGAUAUGCCCCCAUGGGUUAGUUGGAAUUUCCCGUUCAACUACCUCCUAUAUAAAAAAAUCUAUGUCAAGCUGGUCGGCAUAAUUGUCAUAAACACUAAAUGAAGCAAAUAGUUAUAAAAGAUAAUAUAUACCACAUCCGAAUCAUAGACAGGACGAGGGCCGACGAGGGCGUAUACCAAAACCAUCGCACUAUAUAAUAACAAGCAAUAAUAAAAGUAAGAAAAUUAGACAAGUAUCUAUCUAAUCAUACAAGUAAGAAUUUUUUUUCUUUUAGAAAGAAGAUAAGAACAAGAGGCUCACCACGGUGUGCCGGCGACGAGAUCGGCGCGAGCGAUCGACGCGGUGAAGACGACGGAACGUGACGGACAGCUAAACCUAGACAAAUAUUAAGGAAAAUGGAGUUUGGAGGUCGAGCUUGGAGAGGAGAAAGCUUAAGUAGUGUGGCUCCGGCAUUUCAUCGAACACCUCAUGUGCAUAGGAGGUGAGCUAGAGCACAACAAAGCUCUCCCCUCGCCAGCCAGAAAAACAGAGCAGUGGAGUGCUCUGCUCGCGGGCGAGGGGGUAUAUAUAGGCACCUCAUUGGUCCCGGUUCGUGGAUGGAACCGGGACUAAAGGCCCCCCUUUGGUCCCGGUUCCAGCCACGAACCGGGACCAAUGGGUCCCGAUUCGUGUAUGGAACCAGGACAAAAGGGUCCAGACGAACCGGGACCAAUGCCCCAUGAGGCCCGGCCGGCUCCCUGGGCCCGGGACGUAUGCCCGCAUGGGUCUCGAUUCAUGACUGAACCGGGACUAAUGGGCUGGCCAGGCCUGGACCAAAGCCGUGUUUUCUACUAGUGUCUAUAAGGGCAACUAACGGCAGAGGGGUAAAUUUGAGCACCCCUCGAAAUUAGGGGAAAAUCUGAGUAGUGGGAUAAAGUCAGGGGCAUAGAUGUAGAUGUCCCUUAUUACUAAUGCAUUUUAGACAUUGCACUAAUAGAGAGACAUCACAUACUUCCUAGAUUUUUUCAUGGAUUCUCUAGUGUGUAGUUUGUUCCAUUUUUCAUGUCACUCUAGUGCAUCAACAUUGCACUUCGUGUGACGAAGGCAGGCCAGUCCGCUUUCUGGGCGAUGCGGUCUCAGCGUCACACGUCCAGAGUGUUAGAGAGAUGAGUUUAAACGUUGUAACCUCAACAUCCUAUCUCUAUCUCUCCAUCACGUAUCUCUCUCUAAACCACGGACAGGUGUUGUUCCUAUCUACGAUCAAUAUAAACCACGCGGCUCCUCUCAUGAGGAGUAGAAAUGCUUCCAUCUGACAUGGUAUACAGAUCCAUCAUCUUCCCAUCUAUCUAGCCAGAAGCCCUAUCGAUCUAGAAAUCCUAUCGAUUGCCAGAAACCUCAUCGUUCACCAAAAACCAAUCUCCAUGUCUUCCUCCUCAGCCCCUUUCUCCCUCAACCUCGGAGCUGCAACCGCCAAGAAGCUUACCAAGGGGAAUUUCCUCCUGUGGAAGGCGUAGAUGCUGCUGGGCCUGCGAGGAGCGCAGGUCACCGGCCUCCUGAUGGAUCCAACACAGCGCCCCCGAAGAUGGUGGAGCAACAGCAGACGGACAAAACGACAGUCAUAGUGCCCAAUCCCGUCUAUGCGCCAUGGCUGUCCAAGGACCAGCAAGUUCUCAACCAUCUUUUGAACUCUCUGUCAAAAGAGAUUCUCGCCCAAGUUGUGAGUAAAGAAAAUAUGUUUGAUAUAUGGACUACCAUUACCACUUUGUUUGCUUCGCCGUCCCAAUCUCGAAUCACGAAUUUGAGAAUUGCCAUCACCACCACCAAGAAGGGCUCCAUGUCGAGUACCUCAUACAUCGCUCGUUUGAAAAAUCUCGGGGAUGAACUUGCUGCAGCAUGUCGGUCUGUCUCUGACCCAAAGAUGGUGGACUAUGUCCUCACUGGUCUUGAUCGAGACUAUGAUCCGGUCGUGGUGGCCUGAUACGUCUCCGACGUAUACGUCUUUGAUGUAUCUAUAAUUUUUGAUUGUUCCAUGCUAUUAUAUUAUCAUUCUUGAAUGUUUUACAAUCAUUUUAUAGCAACUUUGUAUCAUUUUUUGGGACUAACCUAUUGACAUAGUGCCUAAUGCCAGUUGUUGUGUUUUGCUUGUUUUUUACUUCGCAGAAUAUCAGUACCAAAUGGAGUCCAAACGUAGUGAGACUUUUUGGAGAUUCUUUUGGACCAGAAGACAUCCAGUGGGCCAAAGAAGUACCAGAGAGGAGGCCCGAGGGUAGCACAACCCACCAGGGAUGCCAGGAGGCCCAAGCGCCAGGGUAGGGGGGGGGGGUUGUGCCCACCUCGGUUACCCCCCGCACCGCCUCUUCGCCCUAUAAAUUCCCAAAUAUUUCAGAAACCCUAGGGGAGUCGAUGAAACACAAUUCCAGCAGUUCCAGAACCACGAGAUCCAAUCUAGACACCAUCACGGAGGGGUUCAUCAUCAUCAUAGACCUACGGCUCCAUAGGCACUAGCUAGAUGGAUUCUUCUCUCUUUUUGAUUCUCAACACAAUCGUCUUUCGAAGAUAUAUUUGAUGUAACUCUUUUUGCGGUGUGUUUGUUGGGAUCCGAUGAACUUUAAGUUUGUGAUCAGAUCUAUAUCCAUGAAAAUUCUUUGAGUUCUUGAUCUCUUAUAUGCAUGAUUACUUAUAGGCUCGUACUUCUUCUUCGAAUCUUUGGUUUACUUAUGCCAACUAGAUCGAUUUUUAUUGCCAUGGGAAGAGGUGCUUUGUGAUGGGUUCGAUCGUGCGGUCCUCUUUGUUAGCAGAUUCAAAGAUUGUUCUAAAAUUUGAAAAAAAAGAAUCAUGUUUUGCAAAAAUUGUUUGUAAUUUCCAAAAAAUUGCAUUUUGAAACAGUUGUUCAUAAUUCCAAAGAAUGUUCGCAUUUUGAAAAAAAUCACAAAUUAAAAAAAUGUUCAAGACCAGCAUGUUUGGAGAUAUAAUUUCUCGGGGAUGAACUUGCUGCAGCAUGUCGGUCUGUCUCUGACCCAAAGAUGGUGGACUAUGUCCUCACUGGUCUCGAUCGAGACUAUGAUCCGGUCGUGGUGGCCUGAUACGUCUCCGACGUAUACGUCUUCGAUGUAUCUAUAAUUUUUGAUUGUUCCAUGCUAUUAUGUUAUCAUUCUUGAAUGUUUUACAAUCAUUUUAUAGCAACUUUGUAUCAUUUUUUGGGACUAACCUAUUGACAUAGUGCCUAAUGCCAGUUGUUGUGUUUUGCUUGUUUUUUACUUCGCAGAAUAUCAGUACCAAAUGGAGUCCAAACGUAGUGAGACUUUUUGGAGAUUCUUUUGGACCAGAAGACAUCCAGUGGGCCAAAGAAGUACCAGAGAGGAGGCCCGAGGGUAGCACAACCCACCAGGGAUGCCAGGNNNNNNNNNNNNNNNNNNNNNNNNNNNNNNNNNNNNNNNNNNNNNNNNNNNNNNNNNNNNNNNNNNNNNNNNNNNNNNNNNNNNNNNNNNNNNNNNNNNNNNNNNNNNNNNNNNNNNNNNNNNNNNNNNNNNNNNNNNNNNNNNNNNNNNNNNNNNNNNNNNNNNNNNNNNNNNNNNNNNNNNNNNNNNNNNNNNNNNNNNNNNNNNNNNNNNNNNNNNNNNNNNNNNNNNNNNNNNNNNNNNNNNNNNNNNNNNNNNNNNNNNNNNNNNNNNNNNNNNNNNNNNNNNNNNNNNNNNNNNNNNNNNNNNNNNNNNNNNNNNNNNGGGGGGGGGGGUUGUGCCCACCUCGGUUACCCCCCGCACCGCCUCUUCGCCCUAUAAAUUCCCAAAUAUUUCAGAAACCCUAGGGGAGUCGAUGAAACACAAUUCCAGCAGUUCCAGAACCACGAGAUCCAAUCUAGACACCAUCACGGAGGGGUUCAUCAUCAUCAUAGACCUACGGCUCCAUAGGCAGUAGCUAGAUGAAUUCUUCUCUCUUUUUGAUUCUCAACACAAUCGUCUUUCGAAGAUAUAUUUGAUGAACUCUUUUUGCGGUGUGUUUGUUGGGAUCCGAUGAACUUUAAGUUUGUGAUCAGAUCUAUAUCCAUGAAAAUUCUUUGAGUUCUUGAUCUCUUAUAUGCAUGAUUACUUAUAGGCUCGUACUUCUUCUUCGAAUCUUUGGUUUACUUAUGCCAACUAGAUCGAUUUUUAUUGCCAUGGGAAGAGGUGCUUUGUGAUGGGUUCGAUCGUGCGGUCCUCUUUGUUAGCAGAUUCAAAGAUUGUUCUAAAAUUUGAAAAAAAAGAAUCAUGUUUUGCAAAAAUUGUUUGUAAUUUCCAAAAAAUUGCAUUUUGAAACAGUUGUUCAUAAUUCCAAAGAAUGUUCGCAUUUUGAAAAAAAUCACAAAUUAAAAAAAUGUUCAAGAAUUCCAAAUAAGUUCCAGAUUUUCCAAAUUUGUUCACAUAUUCGAAAAAUACAUGUUUUCAAAUUUUGAUCCAAACUUCAAAAAAUGUUCUGUGAAUUCAGGAAAAAAAUUGCGGUUUGAGAAAGUUGUUCGUAAUUUCAAAAAAUGUUCGCAUUUUCAAGUGAUGCUCCUAUUUUUUGGAAAAUCUUUCUUUUUUAUAAAAUAUUGUUUGUAAUUUCAAAAUUUGUUCUCGUUUUCAAUUUUGUUCCUUUUUUCAAGAAAUGGUUGAGAUACUCAAAUAAUGUUUCAUGUUUUUCCAUGAAAUUUUUGUGUUGUGAAAAUUUUGUUCAUACAUUUGAUAGCAUUCGUGUUUCAAAAGAUAUUUACAUUUUUCAAAAAGAAAUAACUUUCGAUAUUUCUGAAAAUUUUAAGUCCGUUGCAACUUAUAGUUCAUAAGCUGGAUUGCUAUUUUUAUGUACAAAUUUGUAGGAGUUACAAUGGCUUGUGAUUUCGGUUCACUGGUAGCACACCUCGAUUUUGAAUAUUUAGAUUUUGCCGCUGUCGUUUGUUUCUUUACCAGUCGCAUUGCAUCUAUAGCACAGAAGCUUGUCGGAGUUAUGGGUUGUCAUAGCACGCUAUUAUCUGCCACGUCUUGGGUUCGAAUCACAGUUCUUGCUAGUCUUGGCCAUGGGCAGUCCGGCCCGAACGGCCCGGCCCGAAAAAGCCCAACCUGGCCCGGCCCAACACUGCCCCCGGGCUUGGGCCUAGAUUUUGAACCCGAAGGCUGGGCCGGGCCGGGCCCGAGCCCGUUGUAUUUGCGUUUUCGAAGGUCGGGCCGGGCCGGCCCGAAGCCCGACGGGCUUUUACGUGUUCGGACCGGGCUCGGGCCCGGGCCUGGGUUUUUUGCAUCCGGCUUGGCUAGGCCCAGCCUGAAGCCCGAGGUAUGGCCAGGUAUAGUUCUUGCCCUCCAUUUUUUUGGCAUUUUUCCUUCAUAAUUUAUUUUUUUAAUUUUAACGCACGCAUUUAUAGCUUUUGAAACGGUUUUUUCAUGGUUUCUUUUUGACUUUUUGUUUUUUCACCGUCUUUCUUAGCUUUUGGAAAAAAACAAUUUUUGAAAUAAAAAAGAUGUACGCGCAAAUCAUAUUUUUUUUAGCUUCCGCGAGAGACACGGUUUUACUUUCAUGAGUGGCACAUGUUUUCUUUUGCGAGAGACGUAGACAUGCCUCUUGAAAACGGAAAAAUGGUUUUUUUCUUUCGCAAGAGGCACGAUUUUGCUUCCACGAGGCACGGUUUUGCUUUCGCAAGAGGCACGGCUAUGCCUCUCGAAAAUGAAAAAAACACGUUUUCCGUGUAUUUUUCUUCCGCGAGAGGCACACCUUUACUUAUGCGAGAGGCAUGACCGUGCUUCUCGAAAAUGAAAAAAAAAACUUGUUUGUUGUUUUUUUUUUCACGGGAGGCACGGUUUUGCUUUCGCGAGAGGCACGGCCGUGCCUCUCGUAAACGAGAAAAAUGUGUUUUCUGUUUUUUUUCCUUCUGCGAGAGGCACGAUUUUGCUUUCACGAGAGGCACGGUUGUGCUUUCGCAAGAGGCACGACCAUGCCUCUUUUGCUAACGGAAAAGUGCUCCCGAUUCGGUCUUCUCGUCAAGUUUUUUUUCAUGAAAACAAAACUCAUCAAAACCUAUCAACAUCGUAUCCAAUGGUGAAAACGAUUCGAGAUUUGGAUGCACGGUAUAAGAGAUAAAAUGUUUUAAAUAAACAAAUGUACGAGAAAAGGCAAAACUGACAUGUUGAGACAAGUGGCGUGCAUGCAGUGCGCCAUUUAUCGCAAACUAAGGAGGUAGAAGUGAUCUUUGGCAGCAAUACUUCUUAAUUAGUGAUUUUGAACCUCGACUCUCUGACGCAGAGAGCGCCACGUAGGAGGUUCCUGGUUGCCCCUCGGACAUGAGGCCAACUCUAGCGCACGGCCCCAAAUAGACGUCUGUUUUUCUUGAAUUCUAUCCGUUUGGGUAGGGCAAUGGUGUCGUGUCCAGGCAUUUUCUGGGAUGCGCUGGCCAUGCGCGCGCGCACGGCCGCAUCUCGUCCGCAUACAUUUUUCUUUUCAAACACAUACCUUUUGUUUUCAUCAUUGAUUUUUGAUACAUGAAAGCACAUCACCAAAUUUUGACAACAAUAGCAUUACCAAAGAAAAUAAGAACCACAAAAGACAUUUUAGAAGAUAACCAACUUUCAUAAUUGCUCCUAUGUUGGAUUAGUGCCUUCUCGAUGCAUUCAUUGUUGAUCUACGGAGGCUCGAUCUUACGUGCUUCUUUUUUCUUCAAAUCUAUAGAAGUAGACGUUGCUUCCACGCAUCUAGUCUCAUCUCUAGCCUCUAUUCUAGCAACAAAUGCAGUAGUCUCAUCUCUAACCUCUAUUCUAGCUAAAAGUGCACGAACAUCUACUAAAUUGCGCUCUAUCAAUAUAUCAAUGUAUCUUCUUUCCAAUGCCAAACGUUGCAUCCAUUCUACACAACACAAACUUAGGUUAGUACAACUAGGCAAAUACGAGAGCACAACCGAAGCUAAAGUAGCACAUACCCUAUCGUUUGAGCACUUGAUGAACACCCAUCCGGAAUGUUCCGGCGUUGUAGACACGCGGCGCAAGACCUUCCUUGGGCAGUCGUAGCACUUUAUGAGUGGCAACAGUGCGCCAACGAGCCUUUGGGCCAGCACCGAGUCCGGCCUCCGGCCGUUCGUGUAUCUACUGGCGAACCGCCGAUGGUGUAGAUCCGAGCGGCUAGAGGAGGAGUCAGUACCUGCAUGUGGCCUUGCAGCCUUGCCGGGGCCUCCCGGCCCAGUGCCAGGCCAGUCCAUGGCACAACGCGGCCUCCCAUAGCCGGGCAAGCUCAAGUCCAGCCGGGUCCACUCCAAAUCAGAUCGCCGGGAGCGCAGGUAGUCAUGGUUGGGUAGCUCGGGGCAUCGAGGGAACGGGGGAUACGACAAGGGUUGGGAAGAGUGCGCGGCCGAGCUGCACAGCGGCAAUGGCAGUGACGACAGCGGCCAGGGACGAGAGUGGCAGGAAUGCGACUGUAGCGAUCGGUGAAGGGGGGGCAUAGAAAAACGGAGGCAUGUGCCACCGACGGGCGGGUGUGUCCUGGCCGUCCACGCGUUGUCCUUUCCACCUCAAAGGCGGCCCAAACUUGGGCCGGGUUGGGUCGGAAACGGACACAAAAUAGACAAAAGUCCGUUUGCGCCCGCGCACUAGGCCGUCUGGUAUGUCUGUUUUGCCCCAAACGGACGCACCCGGACGUAAUUUCUUAUUCGCCGCUUAUUGCGGCAAGUUGUCGCGCCUUCGCAAGGGGGGCGGCUCACCCUGGGCCGGCCCAUUUGUCGUCGUUUCCCUUCUCGCGAGAUUAAAAACAGCAAAAACGAGAGAUUAAAAAGGUUUCGUUGGGGAUCGAACCCAGCACCUCCUAUAGGUGUACACACCAAGCUAGCCACCAUGACCAGCUCGUGCAAAUUAACAAACAACAAGGCGAAACUUAGAGAAACACACAGCAGCGACAAAACUUAAAACCAGUUCACAAAAUUUCCAAAAAACUUUUGUUCCUUCUGCUGGUUUUCUUCAGGUUUUCUUCAUUAUCUUUUUCUGUUCUUCCGUUUUCUCUAUUUUUCUUUUCUAUUUAAGUUAAAAUAUUGUUCUGAAUUUUCAAAAAAUAUCUUCUUGUCAAAAUUUGUUCAUGUUUUUGAAAUAAUGUUCACAUUACAAAAAUUUUGUUCACAAUUUCCAAAAAUGUUCCUGUUUCCACAUUUUUUGUUACAAUUCAAAAAGAUGUUCCAAAUUCCAAAAAAAUUCACAUUUUUAAAAAUUUGUUCUCAAUUUACAAAAUGUUUGGAAUUUCGAAAUUUGUUCAUCGCUUCCAAAAAUGUGUUUGGAGUUCUAUUAAUGUUAUGAAAAAUGUUCGAACUUUAUAUUUUGUUCACAUUUUCAAUAAGGCCGCAUUGUAAAAAAUGAUCGGAAUUUCCAAAGAAAAUCAUGUCAAAAAAUUCUUGGAGUUUCAAAUUUUUGUUCGCAUUUUCAUAAAAUAUUCAUGUUUUCAAAAAAAAUGUUCUCACUUUUAAAUUUUUUUUGUGUUCGGAAUAUUAUACAAUUCUCGAUUUUGUUCAUUUUUUCUAAAAAAUGUUCUGAAUUUAUAAAUUUGUUCGUUUUCUCAAAAAAGUUUGGAGAUUCAGAUUUCGUGUUUUUUCGAAAUUUGUUCAAAAUUUCAAUUUUUUGAUCUUGUUUUUCGAAAUUUUCUGUUACAAAUUUGUUCAUAAUUUUGAAAAAUGUUCUCGUUUGCAAUUUUUGGAUUUUCUACCAAACAUUAAGUUUUAUCUAAAUCAUUGUUGUUUCUUUUAAUGUUCCACUGCUAAUUUAGCACUGGAGCUAGUUGGCCACAGUGGCUUAUACCAUACCUGCGUAUUCUUUUUUUUUUUUGCAUUUUUUCAUCUCACGAAUCCCAAAUGGGCCGGUCUUCUUCGCAUUUUUUCAUCUCGCAAAUGCCAAAUGGGCCGGCCCAGGUUCGCCACGCCUGUGCGAAACGUAGCCCGGUUAGGGUCAUAGCCCGGUUAGGAUGGGGUAGUGCGCUGGAGUUGGCCUAAGAUUUUACCGACUGGCCCGCAUAUCCACUGGGGCCCAUUUCACCCAUCAAGCCCAAGACCUCAUCCGAGCUAGCCAAUUUCUUCUUAUUCUUCCCCGACUCUGGCGACCCUGUCCAGCGACGACGGAGCAAUGCGACCUCGCCGUACUUACCUGUCCUGGCCCCAGCGCGCCGUGGCGGAGCUCAAGGCGCACUCCUCCACGAUGCUGCACUGGGGCGCGCACCUCUAUGCUGCUGGGCAGGGGCACGCGGCCGCGACACCGAGCUUCUCACGCGGCAUUGACAGCGAGCCCCUCGUCUUCAUCCCCACCCACCCCUCCUCUUACCUUGAAAUUUCCUACUAGAUUCCUAGUGGUGCUUUAUUUUCUCCGGUAUGUACUGAAUCAAAUCUAAACCCAAGUAGUGGUGCCCAUGUCACGAUUUAAUUUACACCUAUGAAUACAUUGGAUGGAUUGCGACCAAACGCUGUUUAGAAGGAUAAUAGCGACGUUAUCGGAUUUUUUUUCCCCAUAUUUUAGUUCGCGCCUGCCGUGGUCGCCCUCAGUUAGCUGGACCUGUCAGCGAUCGCAUGCAUCACCCUACUUACUCCGCAGUUGUUAAUUGUCAGGUCUAGUCUUCUUGACUUGACUACAUUCGAAUUCCAAAGCCAACCAAUCUCGUCCUACUUAAUGCGUCUUCCUUGCCCCUCUUCUGUGUAAAUGGAUCUAGUCCGACCUUCUUGCCCACCUCAUUUACUUGGAAGGCUUUUGAGAAGCUAAAAAGACUUUCCAGGUAAGUCCUCUUUUGCUUGUCAAUUAUUCUUUGAAAGAUUUGUCAGCCGUCCGUUUUACGUUUAAUUUUUAUCAAUGUUCGUUCCUCUAAAUCCUAUCUUACCGAUUUCAGAUCAAGAAAUCCAUGAAAAUAAUACGAUUUAUGUUUUUGCAUGAAUGGAAACUAGUUCAUACAAGUAUUAGUUUGUUUUGUAUUUGGUCAAGAAAUUCUCUUGCUAUCGAAAAAGUAUGGUUCACUAGGGAAGAAUGGAUUUUAGCGGGACAAUCUAGUAAGUUCGGGUUUCGAUGGAAAACCUUUUUUACAAAAGGUUCCUAACCGAUGCAUUUUUGGGCGAACAUCCAAAUUUCUUCUAUAACAAAAUCGUUUUGGACUUUCUAAUUAGUAGAUAUGUACAACCUGACAUGUGCCUUGCUAUAUAUGACAGCACAAGCAUGGUAUCACAGAAAUGUAUAUAAUUUCCAUCAUAUAUAGCUCGACUGGUUAUAUUUACUGAUUAGUAUGUGCUUCGUUGCUUAAGAGUUUUCAGAUGUCAAGCAACUUCGUAAUAGUAGUAUUUUCCAAUCAUGCAAAGCAGUUAGAGGGCAAGUGGGAAUGGUUAAAACAAUUGUUGUUUUCCAGAUGGACAGAUGGUAAAUGCUAGUAUACUCGACGACUUAAACACCAUGUAGUCAUUUUCCCUCGGCAGAAAAAUAAUGCAUCGAUUGGAUACGAUUUGCGGGGUAGUUAAUUUAAUAUAUAUGUCAUGGCUCAUGUAGCUUACCGUAGCAUCACACAAAGUGUUCUGGACAAAAAGGACAAUAAUGGGCUGUUCAGUUGGUACAUUUGUCAGUUGAAUUAAACUACUACAGGGGAAGACACAACUGGUAGCGAUGGCUGACUUUGUCAAUCAAAUCUUCUAAAGCUAAGAAACAAAUGAGGAAGUUAAACUUCAAAUUUGGUUUAGUUGCACAAUUUAAUUCUUCCAUAUCUGUCCUAAUCAACACAGUAAAUUUCUAGGCAUCUGAUGAUUUGCAUCAAUUCACAAUCAUGAGCCUUUUGCUAUUGAAAUCUCUACUGAAUAUUGUGGAUCUAGAUACAUAGGUUGUGCUUGUGAAUUCAAUCUCCUUCCUUCUCUUGGCCUUUUUGUUUGAAUUUGCUUCUGUGUGUACCAUACAUGUGGGGGUUUAGCCUUUAAAAAGUAGUAAAAUAGCUAUGGUCUCAACUUGGCUCAAUAUUUUGUUUUCCAUACGAGUGUGGUUUUUCUACACCCCAGCUCGGUGCACCCAUGCAAGAAAACAUAGCAAAAAACUUCAAAAAAAUCUGAAACUUUGUGGGAAUGUUCAUCAACAAAUGCUAUGGCCGCUUGCAAAGUUUGGUGGUCAAAUAACAUUCGAAGAGCUCUGUACAAAAAAGACAAAAUCAAUGAAAAUUAGUCAAAAUGUGAGUGCACUGUUUGAGCAGAUUUUGUAAUUUUUUCUUUUUUGUACAGAGCUCCUUGAAUGUUAUCUGACCACCAAACUUCGCAAGCGCCCAUAACAUUUGUUGAUGAACAUUCCCACAAAAAUUUAGAAUUUUUUGAAGUAUUUUGCUAUGUUUUCUUACGUGGGUGUACCGAAGGUGGGUGCAGCCACUACUUUCCCUUUUCAUAUCCACUUUGGCGUUUUACUUCUUAAGAGAAUUGUUUGUUUCUUUUUAAUGCAGAGUCUGAAAUACAUCAUUGGACUUCUGUACAGCAGUCCCAGUUUGUGGUUUGAAGUCCACAUACAGGAGAAGCUAAAUUCCCAUUAGGUAUGCAUGUCCUUGUUUGAAUGCUUGCUCUUAUGGUUAUUGAGUUGCUAUAGAUUUCUGCAAGCAUCUCCCCAAUAAAUACAAGUAGCAACUAGUUAGAAGUUAAAUAUUGUUUACUAUUUUUCUGUUAAACCCACUUGGUUGAAUCAGAAUUCUAUGGUUCGACAUUUAUGUAAGAUGGCUGAAUUAUUGCAUUGGUCGCAGAGAUUUGUUUUGAAAUAAACAAUUAAAUUAUUGUUUUCUAGGAAUAACCCCGGUAUGUAUUGUACAAAUAUUCCAGUCCUCAAUAGCCCCUACCCCCAACCGAUGACGCGGUGAGACCAGCCUCAUGCCCGAUCUGAAGUAUGACUGGUUUUUAUGUGAUUUUAGACUGGAUGCAACCCAGUCUUUUGACGAUUCUAAAAUGAACCUGUCUUUUUUAUGCUUCUGCAGCCUUAAAUCACAGAUUGCUUAUGCUAUUUUGGCUAUUAUUCACUUGUUGGCUUUGCACUCUCUUGCUUUUUCAAUUGCCUUAUCCACACAAGGUGCAACUUCUAAAUGAAGAAGAUAUUUGUUUAACCUCAUGGCAUUGUCACAAAUAUUGUUUGGCAUAAAGUAAUCACACGGUCAAUUUUGUGCUACAUAUUUGUAAAAGACCAAUCUAGCUGCUGCACAAGUUGUCCUUUGCUUCAAUGCUGAAACUGUACUAUUCAAUGGAUUAGGCAACAUAUAUAUGGACAUGCUGGAGCAUAUACUUGAUGGGAGAGUGGAACCGACAAAUCUACCUUUUGCACUUUUGAAGAAUAUCACGGAUAAUUUCUCGGAAGAGCGAGAAAUUGGCCAGGGUGGAUUCGGAACCGUUUAUAAGGUAUCUUUUAACUUUUAAAAAAUAAAGCUAGGUAUGUUGCACCUAAUUAAUGAUUUCAAGGUUAGCACUAAAAAUUAUUGUGCAGAUAUUUGACCCCAGGUACACUAAGAAAACUAAGUACACCGUUUCAGAAAGAAAAUUUGGGAAGACAGUUUAAAGUUUUGAAAAGAAUAUAGAACCUGCAAUUUCUAGGGAGACAUAUCCAUCAUGUAUUGUAGAAGAAAAAAAGGACGCGCAAGGAAAAGUUCACACUAACAGUGUCCAUCUGGGAUUGUUUUGAUUUUUUCCCAUUUCUUAUUUUUAGCUUCCUGCCAACCUCAGUGAAGCUAAACUAUGUAAAAACCAAUGUUGUUAAUAGCUAAAUAUCAGGAUGUUACAAAUGUCCUGAGAACAAGACCCUGUUUUGGUGGUAUAUUGCAAACUGAGAUUCUUUGGGUGAUAUAUUACCAAAGUUGACUUCUUUCAGUACAACAUAUACCAAUUGUCUGAAUCCUUUUAGUGCACUACGUCCUCAAAUAAUCUAGCUACAUGUCUAAUCAACUAUGCUACUAUAAGUAUUUACAAGAGAAGUUAAGCAGGGUGUCCUCCCAAAUGGGAAUGUUGCCGUGAAGAGGAUUAUGAAUAGCCACACAAUCGAUGAGAAUCUAUUUUAUGGUGAAGUUAACAGCCUCUUGAAGGUUAACCAUCAAAAUGUAGUCCGGUUUCUUGGCUAUUGUGCUAACACAGAGCAGAUAGCGGUGAAACUUCACGGAGCAAGAGAAUAUAUUUACGCAGAGAUAAGGGAAAGACUGUUCUGUUUCGAAUAUGUUAGCAACGGAAGCCUACAGAAACAUAUUACCGGUAUGAUUAUGUUGCAUGUGAUGCUUCCUUUCUUAGUACUUAUCUUUCCUCUUUUCAUGCAACGGUCAACAAACAGUAAGGGAUAGACUGGAUAAAUAAACUGUUUCUAUAAUUCAGUAUGUAUCUUUAGCAUCCACAGAUUGAAUGCAGAUAUCAAUAGAUUUCAUGCUUCACUACUACUCUUUUCUUUCUGCAGAUGAAUUAAGGGAACUUGAACAGAAUGCACGUUAUGAAACAAUCAAUGUUUUUUGCAAGGGCUUGCAUUAUCUACACACUGAAAAUAAUAUUACUCAUAUGGAUCUUAACCCUGAUAAUAUAUCAUUAGAUAAUCAUAUGGCACCAAAGAUCAUUGAUUUGCAUUAAGAGCGAAGAAAAAACAAGGUAUGUAAAAAGGUUGGCGUGCUCUCAAGGGGAACACGCCGAAACCCCAUAAAAAAUAGUACACCAAGAUAAUAUGAGCCGUUUAUUUUUCUGCAUCAACGGUCGAAGAAAUACUGCACCGCAAUAUGAGUAGUAUUUUUAUUACAGAGAGGUAAAAUUGGCAUAGUUUACUUCUGCUCGUUAGAGGCCUGCUGCAACUGUGUGCUCAUGACGAGCAUAGCCUAUCUCCAUCAACAAGUUAACAUCUCAACCACACAACGGCCAUCUCCCCGCCAGCCUACGCCAACUGAUCCGGUCUAGCAGUAGCUCCACCGGUUGCCGCUUACGGCCCACUGACCCGUGAUGACCAAUGAAAACUUCCCAGCCAUCGUGGGGCUCCUUGAGGCGGCAGGACAUCUUGCCAUUGUACCUGUACUACUGCUCCUUGUAGCACCACGGCCGUCGGCCACUCCUAACCGUCGACACAAGUACGGGCAUACCGCUCGUAGAAUCUCCACAUGAACCAUUUGUCCACGCCCCGUUGAACGGCAAGUCCAGCUCUCGUCGCAACGGCGCCGUCCUGGAGAUGGACGACGUCACUAUGCCAUGUGUGCUGCCCUUCACAGAUCAGGGCCGGUGAGGCCGAUGUUGGGAUUGUCGGCAAGCCAAGCCAUCCCAGGAACACAGUGUGGGUCACUAGUACCCUGCCGCUGCAUGAGUUCUGGUGCUCUGCUCAAGUCGGCGCCGCCGGGGGCAUGUGGAAGCUGGCAUUGCUGUUCGUGUAUGGUUGUACCCCGGCCGUUUCGCGGCGAGAUAUCCACUGACAAGUACGUAGCAGAUCAAUAUAGCAGAUACCAGAUAGCUUUGUGGAGUACGUGAGUUCACCAAAGAUCAAUCAACCUGUUGGGGAGAUCAGAUUGCACUUUCGUGUGUGUCUCUCCAUCAACAGGCGGCUGGCCAUCUUGGGGUCAUACCAGUGCUGCUUGUAGCAAGGGGGGGAGGCUGGCGGAGGCAGGCAGCUACUGGUGGAGGCGGGCAGGCGGCUUUGGGAUUGCGGACAAGUCCUCCGGUGCGUGGCGUGGUGAAAGGGACUACCUGCAAUUACUAACUUGUCCUUCAAUUAAAAUUGAGACUGAAUCAUAUCAACCACUGGAUCAGCUUAAUACUACCCAUCUAUUUGUGUAGCAUGAUGUACCGUAAAAAAUCUCAAAAAAUAUUGUUCUACGAAGGCACCAUUACAAGGCCAUGACCUUACAUGUCAAAAGCUAGCUCACGAUGUUGAUAUCCUUGAAAGCCAUUGUAGUGUAGCUACCUCCAUGUAGGUAAGUCUUUGAACCGGUGAAAAUCCUCCUGUUUCUUUCCUUCCAGGCGUUACUAAUUACGUACAGGAAACACCCACCUUGUUGUCGCACAUGACGUUCAUUCAUGCCUCUCUUAGCAUAGCAUCCCACUCGGCAUCGAUUAAUUGGAAAGAAAGGGCCGAAAGAGCGGGAGGUCCCACGUUGCCCGACCAAGUCCACACUAGGUUCCAUAUUGCCAGACUGAAGGGACAGAUUUUCAUAAGUGCGACAGAGUCUCCAGACCCGAUAAAACUAUAUCACGUUUCGCCCAUUCAUGCCUACAAGAAGCUGAGCUAGCUCACUUGUGCUUUUUAUUUUGCACAAGCAGUCAUCGAAUGAAAAGUCUUCUUGUGCUUUUUUAUGUGUACAGAUGAAUCUUCUGGCCUUGAGUGGGACAUGAGAUAUAAGAUGAUAAAGGGAAUUUCCACCGGUCUACAUUUCCUUCAUGAGAAAUGCCAUAUUGUUCAUCUGGACCUUAAACCAGAAAACAUAUUGAUGGACACAACUAUGAUACCAAAAAUAUCUGAUUUUGGUUUGUCAAAGAUCUUUGGCAGCAAACAGUCACGGAUUAUCACUAAUCAUUGUACAGGAUCACGGUUGGCUAUACCUCUUUCAACCCUUGUUUUUUCCCCUGCUAUUUUCCAUCUCUUUGUUCACGUCUGUAGUACCUCCAUUUCUGUACUUUCUUGUAGUGGGUAUAUGGCACCAGAAUACUCAAUCCAAGGCAUAGUCUCCAUGAAGGCGGAUAUCUUCAGCCUGGGUGUUAUAAUAAUUGAGAUAAUCACAGGUCAUAGGGACUAUCCAUCUUACCAGCUCGACAUUCCCCGGAGUACUAACAUAUCUUUCCAGGAAUACAUAGUGAAGGUACGAUAAAAUAAUGUAGCCUUUUCAUAAAUAUCAUCAUUCUAGCUCUCUGUUGCAAAUGUGUAGGUGUUUGAAAGUUGGAGGAAGAAGUUUAAGUACAUGGUCAAAUAUAACCCGAUGGAAAAAUAUACCAGGCAAGUUGUACAGUGCAUCACCUUUAGCCCUAAAAUGUGUAGACCCUGUCAUGGAGAGAAGACCUACUGCACAUGAUAUAAUCCAAGUGUUCAAUGCAGUAGACAAGGAAUGAUCUAUAACUUCCAAAUUAAAUUUUACGAGAACUUCUACACACAUCCCCAGAUAAUGUUACAUGAGUUGAAAGCUCAAACCAGUUGUGUGCAUGCAUAUAGAUGAAAACACAUGAAGAUUUGCCAUCAGGAUUGCAGUUCAAGGAAAUGUUGCAGUUGAUAAACACUACUAUAGGCGAGGAUCUCAUACACCAGAAUGUCACUGUACCCAUGUUGACAAGGGAUGGGAGUAAUGAGAGAGAUGGUAAAGUGGUGGGUGUGAUAAAUUCUGAAGAUCCAUCAAGAAUGCCCUUGUCGGGGUCGAGACUAGUCAAUGAGGCUAUAGAGACAUCUACUGAGCCACGAUCAACAAGUGAGACAGCCACACAGGUAUGUUUGAAUACCACCUAAUUUCAGAUAACUUAGCAAGGCCACGCAAACUGUUGGAAUUAGGGGGACCCCCACCCCCAUCCCCCCACCCCCACCCCCACCCCACCCCAGCGUUGCCAACCCUAGGCGACAUGAGGGGCGAUCGCAUCGCCGACCCUAGGCCUCCUCCCAUUGUUUCCUCCCUCUUGCCGCCGCCUGCGUGACGGCGGCGAUGACGGAGGCGUGACCUCCCCUCGGUGGCGGCACCCUUGUGGCGACGGAAGGGAUCGCGGCUCGCGCCUUGCCCAGAUGGGCUUGGGCGGGUUAGCGGUUCUGGAGAGCGUCUACAGGGAGCGUGGUGGGCCUGAUGGCGUCGGCUAUAGGCAUUGUGGUUGUGCCACGGCCGGUCAGGCAGUGACGGCCUAGAUCCAUUUCUUCAUGACCCCAGCAGAGAUGGCAGCGGUUCGUGCAUGAGAUGCUUGAUGGAGGCUCUUCGAACGGAUCGAGUGAAAACCUACUCUCUGCUAGCUGCCAAAGCCACGGUGGCAGCGCUGUUCUGCAGCGUUCCCUUCUUGAAGGCAUAGCCGUGGAGAAGCUCAAGGCCACUAUCCGCUAGCUCCGGGAGAAACCCUAGAUCGGUAGAUCAGAUGACGGUGACGCUCUGGUGUCGUUUCCCACUUGGGGGUGACAUUCUUGGAGGUGUACACGGGCUCGAUGGACCAGUGGACGGCUUCUUUGGUGGAGUGGUGCUUCAUCUUCCACAUUGAUGGCGGCGGAUCUUCGUGUUGUGGUGCAGUGGAGACUUGGCAUCCGAUGCGCGGAGAUGGACUCGCUUAGGAGGAGGACGCUGUCUGGCGUCAUGGUGGCGUCGAUGACAGAGAAGCCAAGCAAGGUUGGUGCGUUAGUAUCUGCUGUGAAGAUGGAUUGGUGGAAGAUGACGGCGAUGACACAUGAGAGUGUGUCGGACCGGUUUGUGCCCCAAGCCUGGUAUGUGGCUUGGUUGGGGCUGGCUUUAGAUGUUAGGCUUAGGUGAGAGGUCUGAUUAUUCUGCUUAGCAUUUCUGCACCCCUCAUCAAGUGGAUAGGAGUAGCGACACAUGUUGCCAAGAUGACGUAUUCAGACAUAUUUAUGUACUACUUUGUAAGGUCUUUGUGAUUAAUUAAUAAAAUGGCUACAUUCAUCUUUCAUAUGCAGAGGCCGAGGGUUAUCCUCCUUUUCUAAAAAAAGCUAAUUUCAGAUAGAAAAAAGGUCAUGAGUUGAUUAUCAUUUUAGUAUGAUGGUAUAAAUUACAUUACAUGCUACAGAGGGCGAGGGCUUUUAUUUACUUCUUACAUGGACUUUGUGUUCGUUGGAAUAAUUAAUUAUCGGAAAUGUUAACGCCCACACGCAUCCAUCAUCAUCCAGUACUAUAUGCACGAAUCUUGACACAAUCUGGCUGAUUUUCUGUGCCACGUAGGACAAGGCGUGUGUGUGGUGUGUGACAUAGUUCGCCCACACAUCCGUUUUACCACAUGGAGGGGCCGGUGUGUGGGCGUUUAGCAGUUCACCCACACACCAGUUUUCAGUCACGCACAAGGGCUGAUGUGUGGGCAUUUGCCAUCUCGCCCACACGCCCGUCUGCUCUCCCACACGUAAGCUGCUAGUUGCCAUGUGUUUUUGCAGCACACAUGGCAACUGCCUCUAGUGUGCUUUUUAAGCAGGUGGCAACUCUCUUUUUUUACCCGAGUUGCCAUGUGUUUUUGCAGGGUACACAGCAACUGCCUAGUGUGCACGUAAGCAAAUGGCAACUCUCUUUUACCGAGUUGCCAUGUGUUUUUGCAUGGUACAUGGAAACUGCUCCAACGUGCACGUACAUGACAACUGCCCUAACGUGCACGUAAGCAGAUGGCAACUCUUCCUUUUUACAUGGCAACUGCCCUAGCAUGCUUGUGAGCACAUGGCAACUCUCUCAACUGCCUAUUGUUAGUAUGUGGCAACUCCUAAAGUUAUGAAAUCAUGGCAACUACAUUAGAUCAGACCAUACAUGGCAACUGCAGUUGAGCAACCAUGGCAACUGCAGUUGUCCGACAUGGCAACCGUAGUUCAGCAACAUGGCAACUGCAGAUAAACGAACAUGGACGAGGGUCUGGACCAUGGCAACUGCGGGCGCGCGGUGGGCGUCACGCGUCGCGCACGGGACCAGAAGGGUACGAGGCCUGACAUACGGGCGUGUGGGCGUUAUCAACUUCGCCCACACGCACGCGUGUGAGAGGGUUCAGGAGGGAAAAAAGGAUGUGUGUGGGCAUUAUUUGUUUUGCCCACACGUAGGUGUGUGGGCUGGUUACUGUCCAUGCCACACGAGACGUGUGACACAACUACCCGAUACACCACACGUGUGGCAGUUAUCGGGACCCUUAAUAAUAGGCUGUGUGCAUCACUAGAUGCAAAGCUGAGGACUUUCCCCAGUUAUAGAUUUUGUUUUACUACACCAGUCCGAGUAUACAUAUUAUUAUUUUUUAUGCUUCUUUUUUUCCUUCCGCGACUAAAAAUUACUUGGCCAAUAUAUUGUUUAUGUGACAUAAAAUUGAUGUCCCUAUAUUCGACACACAAGCCACAUAUUAAUGAUGUCCCUAUAUUUGACACACAAGCCACAUAUUAAUGACGUCCCUGUAUAUUCGACACACAGACCACAUAUUAAUCAAUAAUAGUUGAUCGAAGCCGUGCUUUAACGAAUCCAACCGCGGCUAACAUUUGGGGACUGAGGGAGUAAAUGGCAUAUAAGUAGGCAUUAAUUGUUGUAAGCGAGGAUUAUCAGUUGAAGACCCCAAGUACUUGGCAUAAGGAUUCAUAAGGUUUUUUUCUCUGUUCCUCUUGUAGGUCAUCCUCUCGAUGGGGUUGCAUUGCGCUGGCUGUGCAAAGAAGGUCAGGAAGUCCAUCAUGCACCUUCCUGGUAUGCAUGCGCUCACUUUUAGCUGUGUGGGAGGACAUAAUUUGGGUUGGCUUUAGGUGGCUGAUGUGUUACAGGUUGUGUGCAGGUGUGCAAUCAGUCGUGGCGGACAUGGCAGCCAACAGAGUCGUCGUAGUGGGGACAUCUGACGCUGCCACAACCAAGGCGCAGAUCGUGGCCAAGUUAACGAGGCCAGUUGAGAUUGUCUCCACCAGUACGGUACCGGCCGAGGAGAAGAAACCCAAAAAGGUCAGCACACAAGAGGCAAUCCCUCCAAACAUGCACGUACGCGCGCACAAUAUUCUUCUCCGCUCAUAAACAGGGCCACAAACACAUGAACAUUUUACCCAAUUUAAUCGAAUCCCAUAAGCAUGUGGUGCUUGCCGCCUGGAAUGCCGGUCUCCAUGCCGUGGGCAUGCAUAAGAGGAUGCCCAAGCCUGCGCAUGAGUCAUAGGCGCAUGGACACGCCUAGCCUCUUCGGUACAUGCCAUGAUGGCAAUGGGUAGGUUAUGGGCGGGUACAACCUUCUUCUGUCCAAACUCAUACCCAUAGAAACUUUCUAUACCCAUCCCUUUCAAUAAUCGUGGGUAUAAAUUGAUACCUAUGACCAUAACCAUCAGUAUCCUAUAUCCUAUAAAUUGACACCCAUACCCAUACCCAUCGGUGUCCUAUACCCAAUGGGCAUCCAGUGGGUACAAUAUAUAGCAUUUAAAAAUUUAAAUUUGAGAAAUGAGUUUGAAAUCUAAGUGAUGAUGGGCGAACAGUAUACCAAUAACGCGUCCCCCUCCUGUGAGUGGCCUCUUGAAGACAUCAAGGGAGUAUUAGCAGCAGUUGGUGGAAACCCGACGGAACGGGAGGCGGUGGUGGGAAUUGAGGAUCGCUAGAUCAAGAGUUGGACUGGAGUCCAGUAGCGAAGAGUCCGGAUUUCAUUUUUUCCCGCAGACAAUUAUGAUGUAGGAGUGGCGAGCAGGUGAUUACGGGCCUAUGGGCUAUGGCCGGUUUAACGAAUACAAGACUUAGAGUUGAGCCAUAUAAGUGAAUGUUCACCCCACAUGUCAUAGGAGUUAAUUUUCAUCUAUUAAAUUUUUCUGGGUUACCUGUGGGCACGAUUUCAUUCUCAUGCCCUAUCCAUAUAUUUUGCGGGUAUGCAUACCCGUUACCCGUGGGUACAAAAUCUCUCCAAGUUUUGCCCAUGCCCAUUGUUUUUUGGUAGGGUAGCUACGGGUACCAAUACCCAUGGGCAAAACUGCCAACCCUGUACGUGACAAAUGACACACGAAAAAUUAGACCAGCAAAUGGCAUGGUGCCGCAGUGACAGAAACCUGAUAUGUUUACCUUACCAGUUAUAAGAUGCAGAUGCUUUGAUAGCAACGAUAUGUAGGUAGGAAAAACGACAGAAAACAAGCUGCAUAUCUCGAUUUUGCCAUUUCUUAUAAACAUGUGUACAGUUUGUGUAGGUUCUCCAUCCCUCUCUAAAAUAGGCUUUCGCCCCGCUAUAUAGAUAUAGCAACCAACCGAUACACCUGUGAGUUGAAUGCUAGGGCAGACAGCAGAAGCACGCCCAAAAGAAACAAAAAAAUAAAGAAGAAAGAAACUAAUGUCAACAGUGUCGUAUCAACGAAAAUGAUGAUGACCCGCCACCGCUGCGUCCAACGAAGAGGUUCCACCUCGCUCCUAGCACGUCGAACCUCCGCAUACCAAGCAACACCUUCAGGAAGGGACGUGACGACGACGACGCUGCUGACUGGACUGAUCCUAGGGUUUCCCCGGUACGCGGAGGGGCGUUGGGAAGGGGAAUACAUGACGCCCUUCAUGAAGGAGCGGCGGCGCCCAGGGGCGUCACCGCAUCGGUGCCGGCAAGCCAGCAGUACAUUGUUGUUAUCUCUAUAUAUGCCGUUAUUCUUGCUUUCUGUGGCAUCCGAACUAAAAGAAACCUAUUCUUAUGUACUAGGUUUCUUGUUGGGCAUGCUUUUUCACGACGACGUGAUUGGAUAUACGUGGACACAGUAUCUACUUUGGAGGAUUUUGUGAUUAAUGGUGAAGAACCAGCUGCUGCCAAGGGCAACAAAUAAAAGAGAAUUCCAUGUGAGGGGUAGAUCAGGAAUACAGAACCGUCAUGAUAGGUGAAGCUAACUGAGGUCUUCUUUUGAUUUGUGUGUGUGUCGACUGUCUUUUGUGCAACACAAUGUUCUUUUUUGUAUUUUAUAUUUUUUUCCUAGCAUCUGUACAUCGGUGCAAGUCGGAACACACUAAAACUGUAUAUACAAAAUGUAAGACUUGCAUUUUGUAGUGGACCUUUCAUAUUUAUUUUUUAUAUUUACUUUAUCACUCGAACCAUUGAAUACAGUUAAUCCUUUAUUUUCUCUAUGUAUAUUGGAUGUACAACUCGGAGACACAAAUAUCAUUUCGUCUGAGACUCUAUACAGAGAAUCUGGUAUGGAUGAUGGAGAGUUUUGGCUAUUAUUUAUUAUUCAUCCACAUUAGUUUUCUUUUAGAUACACUCCUGACAUUGCUUUUAGUAGAGUUGCGAUUGUAAAAAUAACAUGAGUGGAGCGUCUGUAGAAAGAAUAGUCCAAGCUGGUAGAUCCAAAAUAAGGUUUAUUUGCCAGGCCAAGCAGAUUGGUGGAAAGAAAGAAAACCAGUGAAAAAACAAAGUAUAAUGUAGGAAAAAAGAAAACCCAAAGAAAACCAUAAAAAAAACCAAAGAAAAGGAAUAUAUCAUCAAUCAAUAAUCAACUACUCCCUCCAUCCAUAUAUUGGGUCUAAUGCAGUUUUUGAGAUUGCCUUUGACCAUUGAUAAGAUUAAUAGUAUAUGAAAUUUAUAAUAUGAAAAAUAUAGAAUUUAUGAUAUGCUUUGUGUAACUUGCAUGUCAUAUAUUACUGCUCUAACAUGUGGUCAAAGUUAGCCUCAAAAAACGCCUUAGGCCCUAUAUAUAUAAGGAUAGAGGGAGUAAUAUUUAUACUCUUUCGCUGGAUAAUUAAUGAGCACCUACGACAAUGUGUGUUCUAGCUAUAUAUACACAUGUUUAUUAUUUAGUGAUGUGGCCUAAUUAUUUUCUUUUCAUGAGAUUACCAUCGCUUUAUGUCCAUGUAUUUAAAGUGCUCUGUUUCUUUUUAGUUAAGAGUUCUUUCUUUCAAUUAUUUACAGUGCGGUCUGCAAUAGUUGGAGACCUUGUGUAUGUUUUGCACAAGACAAAAUUAAUGUUAAUUUUCCUCCUAUACAUUAGUUAUUUACUUAUACAAUAAAUAAUUGUUAAUGCAGUUCGCAAGAAACCUUAGUGAGGAUCACGUCGUUGGUAAGCGGUUGAUGUUGCAAAGUUUUGACGUCUCUUUCUGAACCAUGCAACACUUAUUUGCCGUCUGGUGAAGAAUAAUCCAAUUCCUGGACCACAUUUCUACUUCAAACAAAUAUAAUGCUGAACUUCAGUUCAGGAGGUGUUGUACUUGGCCAUUACUUCCAGUGAAGGGCUUCAAAAUAUAUGUUGGUAAUUCAGUUUCAAUGAUUCCCCCCAAAAAAAUAGUUCCAUUGAUUUUUCUUUAAAGCAAUGCUUGGACCACCCAGUUUAGGAGGAUUUUUUUCCUUAUCAACGGUCGUUGUCCGAUGACACAGUUUCUCGACUCGGGCAAUGUGGUUCAUAGGCUGAUGUUUCACCCAUUGCAUAGUACAGGCCUUUGUGUAAAAACAGAAAAGGUACUGGAGACUGGAACAACACAGAAAAAUGAAAGAACACCAUUUUUUUUUUGUUGAAAUUCAACACCAAUUUUUUGGAUGCGAGUACGGGGGACAUCGAUCCAAAUAGAUCAGUGUGAGACCGCGGAGAAAUCUUGGAGAGGGGAGACCGCUUCGUCCCGUCCGCUCCCGCGAGCGGCUGGGCGAAGCCCUAGGCGCCGCCGGCCCGAGCCCUCCCCUUCCUCUCCUUCCCCUCGCCGCCGCCGGAGGGCGCGGCCGGGCAAAGCCUGGUUCGCGUCGGCGGCGGCGGGGCUCUCUUCCCUCCUNNNNNNNNNNNNNNNNNNNNNNNNNNNNNNNNNNNNNNNNNNNNNNNNNNNNNNNNNNNNNNNNNNNNNNNNNNNNNNNNNNNNNNNNNNNNNNNNNNNNNNNNNNNNNNNNNNNNNNNNNNNNNNNNNNNNNNNNNNNNNNNNNNNNNNNNNNNNNNNNNNNNNNNNNNNNNNNNNNNNNNNNNNNNNNNNNNNNNNNNNNNNNNNNNNNNNNNNNNNNNNNNNNNNNNNNNNNNNNNNNNNNNNNNNNNNNNNNNNNNNNNNNNNNNNNNNNNNNNNNNNNNNNNNNNNNNGCGCGGGCUAGGCGGGGCGUGCCUGUGCGUGGUCGGCGGGGCUCGGCCUCUCGAUCCAGAUCCGGAUCGGGUCCGUCCGGCGGGCUGCACGUGGGCGGCGCGGGCCGUGGCGGCGGGGUGGCGCGGCUGGAGGUCGUCGGCGCGCCGGUGCGUGGAGCUGCGGGGGCGGCGAGCGGCUGGUGCGGGAGGUCAUGGCGGCGGGCGGAUCUGGCGUGGCGGCAGGUGCGACGAGGCAGGGCGUCGGUGGCUGGCUCCGGUGGCAUGGGCCGGCUCCUGGCCUGGCGCUGAGGUGGUGCGGGUCACGGGCGACAUGGAUCUGUGGGCGGCCGCCCCUGCCCUGGCUUCGGGCGGGUGGGGGUGACGGCGCAGUGGUGGUGGCUGGCGGGGCGUGUUGGUCGAGUUUGCGUCAGAUCCUCCCUGGUCUGGCGCUCGGACGUCGACGGACGACGCGAGGAGGCAUCUCCGGUGAGCUUCCAUGGCUGUAGCUGCGGGUUGAUUUGGUCUCCCUCGUCGGCGUGCUCGCGGUUGCCGAUGGCCUCGCGGAGAUGUGUGUCAGCUACCAUGGUGGGGCGACAUGGGGGUCCUCCUUCUCCCCCUUUCCCCGUGUUCGGUGGGGAGCUUGGUUGGAGGAAUGGGUGGCCUCGAUGCGGUCGCGCCACCUGUCGUCGGCACGAUUUGCCGGUCCGGAUUCGUCCGCUCCCCUUUCUCCCCCUUUCCUCAGUCGUGGGCGGGUUGGCACAGGUUUACCAGCGGAGCGUCGGCGGGUGGUUCCGUCGGUCGAGGGCCAUCGGUUGGUCCAAAGUUGGGGCCUUUGUGUUGGUCUCGGGGUUGUCUGGUUGCAGGGCGGCGGCUCUGGCGGCGGGAGGCGCGACGUUCGUGGGCGGAGCGUGCGUCUCAGGUGCGGGCAGGCAAACAUGGCCGCGUGGGUGGCGUGGUUGCGGGCGGACGACGGAGUUCAGGUUCAUCGGUGGGGUGUGAGUGCCGGAGUACACCACUUGUCCAGUCCUUUGACUGGCCGACGGUGGCGGUGGCCGUUGCCGCCGUACCCUUCCCGAAGGCUCCGUCGCGGCAUUCACACUCUUGUCAUCUUGCUCCGGGUGAAAACCUGAUCUCCGAUAGCGGGCGGUGGCGGCUACCCAUGGUCGUAUCCUUCUUGGAGGCACCGCUUUGGAGGCCUGGCUUCGUUUUGGUCCGGUUCACCUCUCUAUUGGUUGUCGGUGGGGUGGUGUGUCGGUGGCUCGGUGCCUGGCAUCUUUGUAUCUUGCCUUGGGUGUGUGCGGUGUGUGCGUUGUUCGGUAUCUCGGAUGUACUCGGUGAUGUUUACUUUAUAAUAUAUAAAGCAGGGAAAACCCUUUUUCGGCAAUAGAUCAGUGUAGACCGAGACUCCGCAGACAUAACAUCGCGGCAGCCUUGUCACGCACCUCGUAGGUUGUAGACUACUCUAUCUCACGUCGGCAAACAAUUUCGGUCAGAACAAGUCCUUCCCGCUAAACAAACCCAACGGUCAGUGGGUAAAACAAGAUUAAAAAUAGAGAGCCUCUGGCAUGUAGCCUGUGACCUGUCGCUGGGCGCCACGCACGCGCCUCUUGGGGCUGAGCGCGUAGCCACAUCGACCACCUCUAAGAAACAACGAUAACAACGAUACCAGUACUUCAAAAAUGGGAAUGGGAUCUCAACCUAGAAACACGGCUUUCUAAAUGGGAAUGCGAAGACAACUGUUGGCUUACUGUGGUCAUACGUGAUAUAGCAGGUAUGUAACGCAGACGAGAUUCUGUCUUCAUUUUGUAUUUAGGAGCUCUUUUACGGUGAUUGGCGAGUUACAAUAUGCAAUUUCAUGUAACUCCCCCUUUGAUUAUUUCCCACCGUUGAUUUGAACAUGUUAAUUAAAAAUAUUAUGUUUAAUCAAUAAGGGCAUUAUGGUCCUGUUUUUUUAGUAACUUUGUCAAUUUGCUCUGAAAUCCUUCGCAUCUCGUCCAACCCAUCUCGCGAGAGGAAGGCACCGCCGCGAGGACCUGGGAGACGGCGCCGCCGCCGCGAGGUCCUGGAGGCAAACCCCCUGGGCUUGGUCGUAGUGGCCGCUCCCCCACGGCCCCGCGGACGCCGCCGCGAGGUCCUGAGGGGACGGCGCUGUCGCAAGGUGCUGGAGGCGAUCCCUCGGCUGCGCUUGGUCGUCGUGGCCGCUCAACGGAGCAAGGUACUUCGCCCCCGCCCCCAUCUCUUUCUUCCCUCCUUCCCUGGCGGUAAUCUGAAUUCCCUAGAUAAAAUAAUCUGGAUCUCUGUCAGUACUAGUUUGGCAAUGUAAACAAAUGACCAAAUGUGUUUAGACAGUACGUAGAUUAUAACUUUUGCCUAUUUCUUGGUCUGAAACAAAACAAUCUACCUAGUUAUGCAUUCAUCUAGGGAAUUCAGUGCUAGGUCGUUCAGUGAUGCCAACAGCAGAGAAAAUGAACAGCAAGUUUUGAGUUGUGGGUGGGAUGUAGCAGUACAGCUAGCUUUAUGGUUGGCUAAAACAAUUCUUCAAUUUUUUUUUAAAAAAAACACAUGCAUGUAACAUGCUAUCUGAAUCAUCAUUGUGGAAAGGGGGUGAUCUUUUCUUGUAAGUAUACUUAACUGAAGUGAGUCUGAUGACCUGGGGGGUGAUCGCCAUGACCAUCACAGCAGAUACUAACUAGUUAAGACAAAAAGGUGGAUAAUUACACCGACCAGUUCAACAUAUGUUGCACAUGCAUGCCUUAAUUUCUCACGCUUCCCCCCUUUGGAAAUUUAUGUGCAAAGAGUCUUGUCUGCUGUCUGAAACCAUAGGUGGAAAUUUCAGAUGAUUUAUGGAACAUUCAGCUUCAGAAUGUGACUUGUUUCAAUGAAACAUCAAUGCCCGAUUGCAUGCUACUACUCCCUCUGUUCAUUCUAGAACGUCUUACAUUAGUGAACAGAGGGAGUACAUAGCAAGACACCUGCAAUAACUUGACUGUUAUUGAUUUUCUUAGUGGCAUAUUUUUUCUUGUUAGAACAAAAAUGGGUAUUGGGUUGAGCUUUUCUCAAUAAUUUUCUUAGUUUUUCAUGAGUUCACUAUUAUGUGAUUCAUUGCCUUUUCUACAUGAUUUUAGUUGUUUGACCGAGGCCUAUUUUGGGAAACCACUUGCUUUGAUGUUAUACUUUACUGUCAACACGAUUGAAAUCCAACACAAGAGAGUUCAUUUUUCAUCUGCCACAUGAUCGACACCAAUUGUUUAUUUGUAUGUUAUACUCCCUUCGUCCCAAAAUUCUUGUCUUAGAUUUGUCUAAAUGCGGAUGUAUCAAGUCAUAUUUUAGUAUUAGAUACAUCCGUAUCUUGAUAAAUUUAAGACACGAAUUUUGGAAUGGAGGGAGUAUGCAGGAAGACAUGGCCGAUCAAUCCUAACUAUCCUAUGUCCUUUCCAGGUGACGACAGUGUUCUCUGAAUUGUGAUCUCUCUCCGCAUUGCUCUCAUAUCAUCUCCAUGGAUGAAAAAGGGUGUAUAGUGCCAUCAUUGUUCACUGCUUCCGUAUGUGAGAUUGUUGGAUUAUUUGUGUUGCAUCUUUCACCUGCCAGUCAAUUUUUUUGUAUUUUUUUUCCAACCAUCAAGGCUCAACAACAUCAUGUUGUGAAUGUGGCAGCGAACUCCUCAAACACUACCACCGUCGAUGUAUUUUGCUUUAACAUCAAACGGUAGCAUAAUGUGCCGAGAACUCCUCAAACACUACCGCCGUCCAAAUGACCCACAAGUACCGGUAGUCUAGGUCGAGACGGCUCGUAACGGAAGUUGCGUGAUAGGAGUACAGUACUGCUAGUAGUGGGACCGCCCACCAGGGCGCCAUGUGAAUCUAGUUCUGGGUUCAGACUACCCGUAGUUGGUGGUACUAGCAUGGUGGUAGUGAUGUGUNNNNNNNNNNNNNNNNNNNNNNNNNNNNNNNNNNNNNNNNNNNNNNNNNNNNNNNNNNNNNNNNNNNNNNNNNNNNNNNNNNNNNNNNNNNNNNNNNNNNNNNNNNNNNNNNNNNNNNNNNNNNNNNNNNNNNNNNNNNNNNNNNNNNNNNNNNNNNNNNNNNNNNNNNNNNNNNNNNNNNNNNNNNNNNNNNNNNNNNNNNNNNNNNNNNNNNNNNNNNNNNNNNNNNNNNNNNNNNNNNNNNNNNNNNNNNNNNNNNNNNNCUAUGACUGAUCUUAGUCGUCCAAACCCACAAUGAUCAUAAGACGAACCAUACUACUAGUACAAGUGUCACACACCCAAACUGCUAAUCGGCCCAGACAAGUCGUAGCGGUGAUUCAUUGACAAUCCUGUUCGGACCUCCCUGUCCUGCUGCCGCUUGAGCUUCGCGAGCCGAGCCGCCUCCGCCGCUCGGACUGCUCAAUGGCAAUCUAGAGCGCCUUGGCAUUCUUCUGCCGGAGACGCCGUGCGUCCGUCUCCGUGGUCGUAAGCGACCGAUAGUAGACCCAUUCGAGGAGCCGCUCGUCCUCGUCGGGCUCCGCCCCCCUUCUCGCCAUUUUCUGCCUCUGAUUCCGGCGUGCGCGUUCGGGCCUGCUGGGCGGACACAAGCACCCACCACUGCCCACAUGGGGGAGCAGCAGCCGGCGGGGGCAGGGGACGGCGUAGGGGAGGCGCGGAUUGGGCUGGCCGACUGUCGAAGUUGCGCAUGGGCCGGGAGGGGCCAGCGCCGACGUCCGAGCUGCGUCAGUGGGGAAGCUGCAUGUGCGGCGAGGCUACAGAUCCUGAGUUGCCCCUUGUCUCCACCUUGGACCGCUCCAAAACUAUGCGAAGGGCAAUAAGCUCAUAGUCCGGAUCCAGUCGGAGGCUGCCGGAGCUCGACAUUGCACGGGAUCCGAUCGGAAACGGUGCGGGGAGAGGAGAGGACGGAGCGAGAGAAGAGAGUAAGUGAGUUAGGUUUUCAGAGUGAUGAGCCGGAUGGGGUUUUUUAUGGGACAGCCGUCGGGCCGGUGGUGGGCCGGACUUGUCAGGCAGACCCGCCCGGGCAUGCCCGGGCCACCCCGUAUCCACUCCAUUUUUGGGCUUGAUAUGAGGGGUGCCGAUCAGCCCGAGUGUUUGAGGCGUCCGUAUAGAUCAAAAAAAUCGUGAUCGGUCAGUGACCGGGCAGGUAGCCCAGGCGUUUGAGGCCGAUUUAGGGCGCCCGGCUCUAAACUCUCUUAUAACCAUCACAAUGCUAGUGCUUCGCUGGUCCAUAUAAAAUGCUUGGGACACACGUUGAAUUAGAUGAUUGGAAAUGAUUCAAUACCAUGCAUGCUGUUAUAGAUUUGGAAUAGAAACCAAAGAAUUUGGAGGAGCACAAAAAGCUGAUUAACGAGAGUUAAACCUGGCGUAAUUUGUGGGGUGGUUGCCAGGAAACAAACUGCAUGCAAACUGCCUACCAGGCCCUCGUUGUAUUAUCCCAUUGUACGCAUUCAAUUAACGAACGGAAGGAGCUAAUAUCGCGCGGCCUUAAACAUCAGAUCCAAUGUCAAUCUUGCUUUCUAUCCUACGGGAUAGCUGAUGCCUAGUGCCCUAAUGACAGAUUUACCGUUUCACAAACUAACUGGUCCCACCUCAAUUUUGUAACGGUCCCACCAUUACAUGCAAUUUCUUGUAAUUUCAAUUUCGUAACUCCUCGUAACUCCUACUUUCCCACCAUCGGAUCAGAGUGGAUGGAUGGCUCCUAAAAUCGCCAAUGACCGUAAAAGUUGUAUUUAGCUAAACAGUACUGCUCCUCCUUCUCAUAGUAUGUUGUUACCGGUCGGGACUUGGUUUGCUUCUUUUAAUAACGUCCCGACGUGUUUUGUGUUUAGUUUUAAAAAUCGCAAGCAUCAAAGUUAUUAAUCCAUCCAAAUCAACGGUGGAAAUAUAACAAAUUUUGCCUCUUAUAAUCUCUACCUCUACUACUUCAAAGGAAAAAACAUAAGGUCCCAUCUUACGCCAAUUUUUCUUCACACCACCAUUUUUUUUCAAGGUCACACCACCUCUUUGUCCAUCAUCCCACCCUACACCGUUUUGUCCGGUUUUCAAUCUCAUCAAACAAAUCAUUGAUAAUCCAAUAAAACCAGAGCAAUAUAUAAUAUUGCAAUAAACUCACUGUCUGUACAAAAUAAGAUUAUGUUUUCGUUAUGAAGCAUAGAUUUGUUGUCAUUUCUAAAACUAACAAAAUAAAUAGAUAGAUACCAGUGUAAGCCCCCUGUAACUGACUACCGCGUGUCUAUACUUACACAUAAGUUUGCAUGGUUAAUCUAUACCCGACCACUGCCUUCAACAAGGAAAGACUAUUGAUGUUCCCAUGGAGCAUUCGUCACUGGCAAAACAUAAAGCUUAACCACUGGAUGAUCGAUGAAUCUACAUGUGUUCAAGGGAGACAUGGUAAAGAAUGAGUUCUCCGUGGUGAAGGGCAUAGGUAGUCGGGUCCUCUUCAGAGUAUGUAUAAUAAGGUAAUGUAAACAGGCUGUAAGAGCUUAAAAUUUAAUUUAUCGCUGAGUUGGUGUAAGAUGGACCAGGUAUUAGUAAAGUGGUACAUUCUUUUUGACUAGACAAUGUUGGGUUCUACGGUAAGGUGCGUCGAUUGUAAAUUAAAAUUUUCUACGCACAGAACAUCCAGAAACAUGCUACGGGAGAUGGAUCACAGAUCGGUACCACUAGACGUGCCGCGCCGUGCAGCGGAAGAAGAGUUAGGGCAGCGCGUUCGCGUUUUCGUCUCCUCCUUGUCCGAUCUCCCUCGAACAGCCGGUCGUCCGAUCCCACGUACAAGUUCACCGGAGCGGCGCAGGUGCACCGCCUCUAACGGUAUCCGCGCGUGCAAAAGAAACACCGUGCCGUGGACUGCUAGGUCCGAUCACACAGUCGGCGGCGAGUGGAGGUGUCUAUUCACAACACAUGCAAACCCUAGUGACAGUGCCGAAGCGAUCAACCGCAUGAGUGUGCCGCACCUCCACUUUAUAUAGGCGUCCGUCGCGGGCUCAACACUUGGGCCUCGCACGGACCCUAAAGCCCACAAGUCUACUCGGCCACAAUCCGAAUACAGCUCGGAUCACAUCCGACCAGUGUCCUCGUAUCCGACCUCGUAGGUUCCUUCCCUUAAGCGCGCGACCCCUUAGGUUCAAGCCGGCUUGGUCGCAGUUCGGAUCACCUCCGAACUGCACGGUUGGUAGCGGCCUCUAGCAAGGCAUGCCGAACACCAAGCAGACUAUGAAGCUGGUUAGGCGAACCUGUACAUCAUGUCACACUUCUGUUCCCUUUGCCACACGAUAUAUAUAUUGUCGGGCUCAAGGCGAGUCUGUCAUCCUUGUGCUAGCCCGACCUCUUUCUCAUUCCAGUGAUGCCGACCACUAUCCGGAUUAUCUCAUAAUCCUUGUCGCAUGACCAUGCUUAUCCUGGUCGGAUCACACGAGGGGCCCAGAGUAUACCUCUCCUGAUCGGAGGGGCAAACCCAUCUUGCUUGACCACGUCUCGCAGCAUGGGUCUGGACAAGCCUGAAACCUACCUUUGUAACUACCCAGUCAUGGAGUAGCGUUUGGUCGGCUCAAAGCAAGUCUGUCACCAUCCCGAGUACAUGCGUUAGCUUAGGUCUUAGGACAUAGAACGUAUGUUGUACUAGAGACUCACAUAUGACAUACCACUGCGUCUCGUAAUUGGGUCUGUCCGACUCGGACCUUAUCUCGACUCGAAUCCGACCAGAUCAUUCCAAGUCCAUAUUAUCCGGUUAGCAUCCAAUGCUCCAUGGCUAGUGAGACCAAGCCAUCGACCGUGUCAUAUGCUAGUCUAGUCGGCUGUGCGUCCACACAGCCCUUUCGACUAGGGACCUUUUAGGACAGUCAUCAUACAAUGCAUAGUCCCACAAACAAGUCACGUACUUGCUGAUACACAUCAUUGAUAAUGUCCAAGGACUAUCUUUAUUCAUAAACACAUAGGAAAUAUCAUCAUACAUGAUUGCCUCUAGGGCAUAUCUCCAACAGACAAUUGCCCGUGCGGUGCAAUGGGUUAUAAAUACUCUAGUAAUUUAGUACAUGAUUUACCUUCCCAUAUUAAUAUAAUUGUGUGAUAAUUGUUUAUGAAAAUUUUCUCGUAUGUACCUACGUAAAUUAGAAGUUUUUUUAUGCUCUUAUAGUUUGGUAGGUUGGGUCAUGCAUGGUAUGUAAAUUAUGGAAUUGAUCCAAAAGGUAUAGAAAUUAGGGUGAUACAUGAAAUUAACGCAAAAGGUAAGUAAAUGUAAAAUUGAUGCAAAAGUUAAGUAAAUUAAGGUGAUUGAUUAGCAUACAUUGAAGGUGUAGACAAAGGGCGUGGUGGCACAAAGAAACGGGGCAAUGAAAAAACCGAUGAAGGGACAUGGUGGGAGGGGGAGGAACUAGCACAUGUAGCACUCUGCCCGCAGGAAAAGGAACACUGCUUAAUUUUUUUAAGUAGUAGUAUAUAGAGAAGGAACACUCACUAGUAGAAAACAGGGCUAUGGUUCCAGGGCAAUAUUCACAUUAGUCCCGGUUCAGUCACGAACCGGGACUAAUGUGAGCAUUGGUCCCUGUUCGUGCAGCUAAGGCAUUAGUCCCGGUUCACCUGAGCCCUUUAGUCCCGGUUCGUGGCAUGAACCGGGACUAAAUGGUGCGAUGCCCAUUAGUCCCGGUUCGUGCCUCAAACCGGGACUAAAGAUUAGACCUUUAGUCCCGGUUUGAGGCACGAACCGGGACUAAUGGGGUUGAGACCUUUAGUCCCGGUUCGUGGCACGAACAGGGACUAAAGGUCCCAUUUUCAAACUCUACCCCCCUCCCCCCCGUGGAUCACCUUUUCAGUUUUAAAAAAAAUAAAAGAAAAUGAUGGAAAUGUCAAAAAAAAUAAAAGAAAAUAAGUUUCCCAUGUGAUAUGUGGUCUAGUUGUUGGGAAAAUUUGCAAAAGUGAAUUUCGACUUUAUUUGCAAAAUCUCUCUGGAAUUUGUAAAAAUGGGCAUAACUUUUGCAUACUAACUCGGAUGAAAAAGUUUUUUAUAUGAAAAAUCAUCUACUCGAAAAGUUACAUCCGAAUUUAAUAGGGGCUUUUAAGAUCUAGAGUGAAAAAAAUCCUCAAAAAUCUAACAGAAAAAAGAUACUGGGCUUUUAAGAUCUAGAGUGAAAAAAAUCGAAAAAAUUUCAAACUGUGGUCAAACAAUGGUCAAACUAAUUAUUCUAGAAUAUUAGUGUUACUAAAUAAUUAUUUCCGUUAUUUUGAAUUUUGGUCAAAUCUGGUCAAACUAUGGUCAAACUAUGGUCAAACAAUGGUCAAACUAAUUAUUCAAGAAAUAUUAGUGUUACUAAAUAAUUAUUGUUUUUUAAAACAAUAGUUUCAAACUCAAACAGUGAAAUGUGUCACUUCAUGCUCAAGCAAAAUUCCCAAGGGUUAAUAGGAUUGACAUCUUACUAUUGUCAGGAAAACAACAAGUGCAGACUUGGAAACGAGGGAGAAUAGAACCCGGAAGUUAAGGGUGCUCAGGCUGGGGGAGUGGGAGGAUGGGUGACCGUUCGGGAAGUUAGAUGAUUUGGAAUGAUGAGGGGUGAUUAGAGAUUAGAAGAUAAAUUGAGCAGUGAUGAGGGGUGGUGAUUAGAGAUUAGAGGUUAAAAUAAUUUAGAAAUUUAAAAAUAAAAAAAAUUCAAAAAAAAAUUCCAAAAAAAUUUCAAAAAAAACCACAAAAUUUCCUUUAGUCCCGGUUGGUGUUACCAACUGGGACUAAAGGUGGAGCUCCACGUGGCCGCGGCCUUUAGUCCCGGCUCGUGUAAGAACGGGGACUAAAGGGGAGAGGCAUUAGUACCGACCCUUUAGUCCCGGUUCAAAAACCGAGACUAAAGGGCCUUAUCAACCGGGACAAAAGACCCUUUUUCUACUAGUGACUGCUUAUGCUUUUUCAGAUGGGAACCAAUAAAAAUGCCGGUUAUAGGACUUGAAGAAAGGGUCCACUUUUUUUUGAGGAAAUGAAAGGCUCCUUCAUGUGAAUAAAUAAAAUACAAAACAAGUAAUCCGGUUCCAACUACAUCUCAUUUCCGAAAGGUGUCCUAGGUGAUGGAUGAAUGAGCAAUGGCCAUGCCAGCCUUGAUCAAGCUAAGCACUUGAUCAAUGGACUACAUGCAGACUUUUAGAAUGGGUACAGAUCAUAUAGCACUAAGAUAUAGCUAUGUUUUUAUUCACGCUCUCAUCAGAACAUCUGGCUCUCGAGUGCUUCCGGCGGUACAUUGUCGGAGCACUACAAUGAUGGGAGAUUCUAGGGAGGGAACCACAUAUUUCUGGGCAAUGACUACGUACAAGAGAGGAGCACCAUCACCCCUUGCAAGUAUUGUGUCUGGUAAAGGCCCAUCAACAACAUUACCUCCUAUUAUAUCGGUAAACCAAGUCUAGUUUCCCUAAAUAAGGCAUCACAAUCCAAUGAAGCAAAUCCCACGCCCUCCCCUACCCCGAUUGAAUACCCAAGAUGGGUUGAUUGAUGGAAGUGCAAAUCAAUUAAUGACUUUUUGUUUUAUGUUUAGUCAAUUACGAAUACCAUUUUCGAUGACGGUGAUAUGUCUUAAAUCAAUAAUAAUCUAAUUCAAAUUCCACGUGUCUAUUGUAAUAAAUUUUGUUUCUUCCAUACCCCCUGAAAUCGUUUUUUAGUGGAUAAUUAUUUUGAGUUUGCUCUACGCCAUCUUUUGAUAUUUUGGUUGUAGGGCCCUAUAGCUCUUGAACUCAAUAAACCAUGACAAUGCUUUAGUGCAAGUAACUUUGUGCAACUUGAAAUUAGAAAUAUGUAACUGGAUUGCUACACAUCAAGAAGCCUAGCUAAAUCAUAAUCUGGCAAGCAAACAGAAAUAACAUAGAAAUGAUGUAUGAAAUAUAUUCAGGUGGGAGGUCUCCCUGCCCCCCGGUGACCAUCUAAAAUAAAACAUAGAAAUGAUGUCUAGAACUAAAAAGAAAGACACCUGAGCUCUGGGUUAAGACGCAAAACUGACCUCUCCCUUUUCUCAUCCACUUUCAUGGACGAUGAGGUAGAGGUAAGCUUAUUGUUGACACACGAACACGUCACGUGUACCCUCGAUGCCGGGGGUGAUGCACCGCAGCUCACGUCGAAGGAGACCCGACCGACAGCGCGAUACGCAAGACAGUCGGCGGGUGCUUUUGCAGACCCGAAACCCCGCGCACCCGGGAGGGACCCCGUCAGGGAUUGCGGCGGCUAUGGGCUGCCCUAGGUCGAUUCGCUUGCCCCUAGAGCCUCGGGAUUCACAGCUCUCAAACACGAAGAACAGCGAAGAACGAGAGAGAAAAAACGGUGAAGAGAUAAAAAGUAGACAAGAAAAAGUAGUAUAUUGAUUUGUUCGAUUGUGUGUUGUUCAAUCAGCCAUCACCCCUAACAUAUAUAAGAGGCGGCUGGACUUCCCGUACAAGUAAAGGAUUCAUCUAGGCUUUCCUUACAAGAAAAAUUACAUCAAUUCGCGUCCUAGAGUCCUAGUUCUAUUCCAACUCGGAUUCAGUCUGAAUCUGGCCCAACUUCUGUCUUCCUCCUUGUGCAGGCCUUCGAGCUUGCAUAUGAUCUCCGAUCAAGACGGCCCAAAUAUCAAACUUGUGCGCCUCGACGAGACGAACAACUCUCAUGUUGAUCACUUUUCCAAAUAAGGCCAUCUUGAAUACUUUUCGAAGUCAUCUUUACCUUCCAGUCGGACUCGGUCUUGCAGUACACCGGAUUAUCCGAGUCUCGUAGUGAAUUUUCCGGCCAUAUACUAUCUCUGAUGAUGAUGACUCCAAAACCAAAGUUUACCGUCUUGAUGAUACGCACAACUUCUGUAUCGAACACUUCUUCAUCCGAGGUCAUCUUGAUAAACUUUCGGGCACAUGUUCAGUUUCACUCGGAUUUGAGCUCAUCCACUCGGAUAUUAGAGUCUUUCACUCGACUGGACCUUUUCACUCGGAUGACUAUAUUUUCACUCGGAAGACAAUCUUUCACUCGGAUGAUGACCACAUUUUCAGUCGGAAGACAAUCUUUUACUCGAUCGGUAGGUUUUCACUCGACCUUUUACUCGAUCGGUAGGUUUUCACUCGACCUUUUACUCGAUCGGUAGGGUUUUAUCCUUUUACUCAAUUGGUAGGUUUUCACUCGACCUUUUACUCGAUCGGUAGGUUUUUACCCGGAAGGUAAGCUUUCACUCGACCGGUGAGUUUUCACUCGGAUGGUAAGCUUUUCACUCGACCAAAAACAUAGCCUGAUCUUCAUUUGUCUCCUCAAGUUUCAUACGAGCUCGGAUUGAGAUGAAUUAUAUAUGAAAAUCGAUCGGCUCGACGAGACGAAACUUUGUCAUGUUGAAGGUUUUUCGAUUCAAUGCCGUCUUGAAGGCCAAAUUGCUCGCGCGACCCAUCAGACAGGGCGUCUGGUACUUCGCGCCAUAUUUCCACUCAGCUUCGGUCUGCAGUGUAUUGCCUCUAACUUUUGCAUACGAACUUGGAUUGAGAUGAUUUAUAUAUCAAAAUCGAUCACCUCGAUGAGACGAAGACAAUUCCUUUAGAGCACUCCUUCAUCCGAGGUCGUCUUGAAGGCAUGGUCGGCCGAAAACCACUCGGAAUGUUGAAUUUAGUCACUCGAAGUACAACUUCGGCCACCGAGAUAAGGUCGAAUGGCGAUAAAUUAAAUAUCAAAGUUAUUCCACUCAGCGACCUGAAACUUUGCAUGCUGAAAACUCUUUCACUUGAAGCCAUCUUACUUGCCUUUUGUACCUUGCCAAAAUCUUAUGUCAACUCAUCAAUAUUGUCCAUCAUCAAGUUAUAAAAGUCUACUGCUGAUAAAUCAUUUUGUUUGGCUAUUCUCAAAGCAUUCAAAUUUACUUCUACUGGUAAAACGGCCUCUUGACCAUAUACUAGCUCAUAUGGAGUUACCUUCGUAGCACCAUGCCUUGAAAUUCUAUGUGCCCAUAAAGCUUCAGACAACAACUCAUGCCAUCUCCUCGGAUUAUCCUCAAUCUUCUUCUUGAUGAGCUUGAUUAAGAUUUUAUUGCUAGACUCGGCUUGUCCAUUAGCUUGGGCAUAAUAUGGAGAGGAAUUGAGCAACUUUAUAUUAUAAGAUUUGGCAAACUCUCUGACUUGGUGUGACAUAAAAGAUGAACCUUGAUCUGUAGUUAACAUUUGAGGAAUACCGAAUCUAUGAAUAAUGUGUUCGGUUAUGAAUUGAAUUACCUCUGUAUGUGUCAUGUUCUUGAGAGGUACUGCUUCAGACCUUUUAGUAAAAUAAUCAGUUGCCACCAAUAUGAACCGAUGCCCUUUUGAGGAAGACGGGUGGAUUUGUCUAAUGAAAUCUAAACCCCAACCUCUAAAAGGCCACGGUUUGAUAAUAGGAUGUAACAUAGCAGCAGGAGCCAAUUGAAUAUCACCAAACUUUUGACAAGCUUCACACCCUUUAUAAUAUCUGAAGCAAUCAUUAAUCAUAGACGGCCAAUAAAACCCAGCACGUCGCAAUAACCAUUUCAUUUUGGGAGCCGACUGGUGAGUGCCACAAAUACCUUCAUGUACUUAUCCCAUAGCAACUCUUGCCUGGUCCUCAUCCAAGCACUUUAGAAGAACAUCAUCGACUGUUCGGCGAUAAAGACCAUCAUCUCUCAUUGUAUACUUGAAAGCGAUACGCCGAACAGCCCUGUCCACCCUUUCACUCGGAUUGCACAAGUAAUCAACAAUGGGCUUUCUCCAGUCGGAAUUAUCACCUGCACUAAAUUUUUUGUUAAUGGCCGAAUCAGUGGGUUCAGGUUCGGCCUCUCCCAUAUUGGCAAGACAAGACAUCGGUCUUUGAGAGAUAUGAAACAUGCCAUGAUCAACAUGAUAUCCAGAUGCUUGCUGUGCCAACUCAUUUGCUUUCCAGUUGUCAUGUCUAGAUAUAUGUGCAAUGCUAAAACAAUCCAAAGUAGAAAUUAUAUCUAGACAUUUAUCAAGAUAAACAUUAAGUGAUUCGUCAAAACACUGAAAGACUCUGGAUAUUUGCUGCACCACUAGUAACGAAUCACCAUAAGCCUCAAUAUGUGUAACACCUAUAGCAAGUAACAUCUCUAGACCGAAUAAAAAUGCUUCAUAUUCGGCUUGAUUGUUUGUGCAAAAAUAUUCUAAGCGGCAUGAGGCUUCAAAAACAGCACCAUGAGGAGAUAUAUAAACAAUACCAACACCUUGACCAUUGCUACAAACUGAACCAUCAAAGUACAAUCUCCAUGGCACUAAUGAAACAAGGUUCAUAUCAACAUCAUGCUUGUCAUUAAUCCGAUGUUCAACAAUGAAAUUAGCAACAAUUUGGCCUUUCAUGGAUUUUAGAGAUUCAUAAGACAAAUCAUACUCAAUCGAAGCAUAAGCCCACUUGCCAAUUCUACCACUAAGAAUUGGCCUAUGCAACAUGUACUUAAUGACAUUGGUUUGACAAGCUACUACACAAGCACUCGGCACUAGAUAAUGUCUCAAUUUUGUGCAAGCGUAAUAUAAGCAUAGACAUAGUUUUUCAAUAAUGUAUACCUUGUCUCGGCGUCCAAUAAACUUCUGCUCAAAUAUGUAAUGGCAUGCUCUUUUCAUUCGGUAUCUUGAGUCAAAACAGCACCAAUAACACCUUCCUCUGCUGCGAUAUAAAGUUUAAAAGGCUCUCUAUGCUUGGGUGCUUUCAUCACCGGAGGAGUACACAAAUAAUUCUUGAUCAUAUCAAAGGCUUCUUGCUGUUUUGCCUCCCAAGUGAAAUCAACAUCAUUCUUUAACCGAAGGAUAGGAGUAAAUGCAUCAACUUUCCCUGACAGAUUAGCUAUGAACCUUCUCAAAUAAUUGACCUUGCCAAGGAACUUUUGCAUAUCUCUCUUGCAUGUUGGAGCCUCCACUUUCUGUAUGGCCUCUCUCUUUUUGGGAUCGAUUUCGAUGCCAUCUUCAUGAAUAAUGAAACCCAAAAAUUUGCCAGCUGACACGCCGAAUGCACACUUCAAAGGAUUCAUCUUCAUUCCAUACUUUUUCAUUCUUUCAAAAGCUAAACGCAAAUCGGCCGAGUGAGAUUCAAAUGCAUCCGAUUUGACAACAAUAUCAUCAAUAUAAACUUCAAGUAUGAUACCGAGUAAAUCAUGAAAAAUCAAAUUCAUAGCCCUUUGAUAUGUGGCCCCAGCAUUUUUCAAUCCGAAUGUCAUCACUGUCCACUCGAAUAAACCAAGGAAACCAGGACAUCGGAAAGCUGUUUUGUACAUGUCCUCUUCGGCCAUAAAAAUUUGAUUGUAUCAGGCAUUACCAUCUAGAAAGCUAAUAACCUUAUGUCCAGAAGCAUCAUUAAUAAGCAUAUCGGCUAUUGGCAUGGGAUACUCAUCUUUGGGUGUAGCCCUAUUCAAAUCUCUGAAGUCAAUGCACACCCUCAACUUGCCGGAUCCCUUCUUCUUCACCGGGACAAUGUUAGAAAUCCACUCGGCAUACCUGCAAGGUCGAAUGAAAUUAGCUUCAAGCAGUCGACCGAUCUCUUCCUUGAUCCGGUCAUAUGUUUUUGGAUUAAACUUUCUGGCCGACUGUUUGUAAGGUCUAAAACCGGCUUUUAUAGGCAACCGAUGCUCCACUAGCUCUUGGCUCAGCCCUGGCAUCUCAUGAUAUUCCCAUGCAAAUCAACAAACAUAUUCUUUCAAUAGCUUGAUUAAUUUAGCCUUACAAUCGGCUUUCAAAUUUUUGUUUAUAAAUGUCGGCCGAGUGACUGAACCAUCUCCAAUAUCUAUCUCUUCUAAUGGAUCAGCCGAUGUAAAACCUUGUCCAAGUUUAUCCAUGUCAUCCAACUCCUCUAUAGACUCAUACAUAUCGUCCUCACUGGAUCGAUAUUUUACAAGACGUUUUUGUAACCACUCGGAAUUAGAAUCCAUUUAAACAUAUCAUACCUUGGAGCCGAUUGCAUUCAAUCGGCUUUAAAGACACGGGCACAAAACCAUUCUUCGUCGCGCUGAGAAAGUCAAACUCUGAUAAGUCACGUCCCGUCAAGCAAGUAGCAUUGGGAUGUUGCCAAUCCACCGAUGCAUCGGCCAAAGCAACACAGGCCGAGUUAUCCGCAUGAAUGACUUCCACUUCAUCAUCAACCCACUGAAUCAAAAAUUGGUGCAUAGUGGAUGGCACGCACUGGUUUGCAUGAACCCAAUCACGGCCUAGUAUAACGUUGUAGUUACCUUGCACCUCAGCGACAAAGAAUGCAGUGGCCAAAGUUUUGCUUCCGACUGUAAGCUCCACAUACAUUACACCUUUGGCUUCAGUUUUCUCUUUGCCUUCAAACCCGUUGAGCACCAUAUUGGUCUUGAUCAAUUCUUCAUCAGGCAAACCCAAUUUCUUGAAGACCGAAUAGGGUAUAAGAUUUACCACAGCGCCACCAUCAACAAGCAUCCGAGUGAGCGGCGACCCAUUGAUAUGACCUCUGAGAUAUAAUGGUUUCAGAUGCUUUACUGGUUCUUUUGGCUUCUCGAAUAUUGCAUUUUUAGGACCAAAAUCCAGCUGAGCCACUUCCCCUUCCUCAUCUACAGCACAAAACUCAGCAGGUAAGUAAUACACCAUAUUGAUAUCCAUACCUUCAUGAACCGGCGUAGACUCAUAGUCCAACAUAUCAACCUCUUCCUCAAGUGGAUCGACCGAUUCUGAAAUCUGGCCGAGUGAAGGAGAAGUAAGAAGUGUCGCAGACGAUGUAAUAGCUGUCACAUCGUCCUCCUUGGGUGGUGUAGGCACUUUUGUGAUAGAUGUAGAAGCUGAUGUAUCUUGUAUUUGUUUUGGCCUCCACACUUGUUUUGCUGGAACCAUGGGCCGAGUGUCAUUGAACAACUUAUCCCUUUGCUUCUCGGCCUCCUGCUCCGCCAUCUCUUUACUCCUUAACCUCUGUAGUUUCCUCUUCUGUGUCUUUGUUAGCCCUGGAGGACACCACUUUGGUCGAGUGUAUUUAGCAUCUCUUACCUUUACUUGGCUGGUGCUUGCUUCAUGGUCAUUAGCCGAGUGCUUUGGCGCGAUAGAAAGUAUCGGCUCAGUUGAGUGAUUAUGCACAGUCGACUGCUGUAUGGGGAAUGUUUCGGUGCCCAAGAUAAGUGAGUCGACAUCCAUUUUCUCCUUGCCUUUGCCCGACUCAACUGCUGCAACACUUGGUGACUUAACACGCCAUUCCUUUCGAUUUUCCAGAUGCAUGAAAUUUCCAUUCGGGCGCACCUUUUUACUUGCAUGGAAUCCACUCGGAUUGAUGUCAUUCGGAUGGUAACCACUCGGAUGGAACUCACUUGGAUGAGAUCUACCCAUCCACAUUUUUUCACUCGGAUAGCUUCCACCAGGGUGCAUUCUUACACUCGGAUAAUUUCCAUCCGGUCGCAUAUUUUGACCAGACGACUGAUAGUCACUGAUGUUGAGUCGGCCAUUAUAUGAGUAAUCAAGUCGAUCCCACACAGAUUGCCUCUGCUCUUCUGAAAACUGCGCCCUUGGUCCACUCGGUUUUGUAUACCGACUGAACAUAUCAACGAAUGGUGACCUUGGUCAUUUCAGAUGAGUCGGUCGAUUGAAACUAGAACCGACCGACUGGUUAGCAUACUUGGACAGCAACAUAUCAAAAGUUGGCUUGAUCCGCUUGCGCUGCACUUUAACUUCAUUCUUCUUCCACUUGCCAACUUCUGGACUCUUGGGCUUGACAAAUUUAACACGAGUAUUUUCUUGCACUUGCGGUUGCCCCCCGAGUGUAGGAUUCUUGAUGGUGAUUUUGAUCACUUCCUUGCCAUCGGGUUGCUUAUCAAGCACAACCUGUCUCCCCAAGACCUUGUUGUCCUCCUUGUCUUUCCUGGGCUCACCAACAAUGACAUUAGCUUUAUUAGCAGAUUCGGCUACCUCCGGCCGAAUGAGUAGCUUCUUCCCCUCCAAAUUCAUGGUAUUCAUUGGAAAAGGUUGUUUAUCAACUUGCAUCUCAGAAAAGUUCAAUCGUCCGUCAUUAAUGGCCGAUUGUAUCUGUCGUCGAAAAACAUUGCAAUCGUUAGUAGCAUGAGAAAAAGAGUUAUGAUGCUUGCAAUAAGCACGCCGUUUCAGCUCUUCAAACGGCGGUAAAGUAUGAGAUAUUCUAAUAAUCUUAGCCUGCAACAAAGCAUCAAAUAUUCUGUCACACUUAGCAAUGUUAAAAGUAAACUUCAUCUCUUCAUCACGAUUCUUAUGAAUCGGUUUCAGAUCAUUGCAAGUAAAGGGUUUGGCCUUAGAUGGCCAAACAAAUUCAGUAGCAAAAACAUCACCCUCAUCGUCCGAGUGAUUACUAUAAUAUUCCACCAUAUUCAUCUUUGGUCGAUCGGCUUUGUAUCUAUGCACUUCUUUGAGAUCUUUGCUUCGGCUUUCCUGAGCCAAGGCCCUUUGUAAGACUUGGUUGAUAUUUAAAAACUCAUAGCCUUCUAGCUUUUCUCUAAUGGGAGUUCUCAAACCACUCAGCACUAGGUCUGCCAAGUCUCUCUCGGUUAUCACCAAACUAAAACACCGGUUUUUCGUUUCUCUGAAUCUCUUGACGUAAUCGGAGACCGAUUCAUCAUGCUUCUGCUUAACCGAUGUUAGAUGUGACAACUUGAGUUCAUUGUCGCCGCUAUAAAAGUGAUCAUGAAAUUUCUGCUCUAGCUGCGACCAAACUCGAAUGGAACCAUGUGGCAAAGAAGAAAACCAUGAAAAUGCGGUACCAGUUAAUGAUAAAGGAAAUAAACGCACUUUCAACUCAUUCAGUGAGCCUGCCUCACCCAAUUGUGCUAAGUAUUGACUAAAAUGCUCCCAUGUGGUUUUUGUGCCUUCUCCAUUAAACUUAACAAAAUCUGGAAUUUUAUAUCCUGGAGGGCACUGGAUGGCAUCAAAGUACUCGGGGUACGGCUUUUGGUAAAUCCGAUUCCUAGGUAACUCAACUCCAAAAUUCUCUCGAAGCAUCUUAGCCAUCUCCUCUCUAAGAUUAGCUAAACCAUCAUCCAUAGUAGACGAUGAAGCUGGUGGCAGUGGCAUAGGAGGAGUAGGGUUACUAGCUGUAGGUAGGAAUUGUGGCAGGUAUGUCGACCCAUAAUUUGCUAGUGGUCGAGUGGUUGUAGCUGUAGGUAAGGUUGGGUUCGGCGUUGCCACCGAACCUGGCAUGCUCAUAAUAGGAUUAAUGGGUGCAGCCACAAUCUGAUUUGUUUGGGUAGGAUAAUAAGUCAUCGGCACGGGAGGCGCCGAUGAGAUAGGUAAAGCCAGAUUAGGGUUUUGCACACUAGCAGCUACACCAUCAUUACCACUAGUCGAUUGAGAUGUAUUCUUCUGAGCAUUAGUAUUUUCAAUGAAAGUUUGAUAGACUAGAUUGUUACCAUCAGCAAUACGACUUUCAAUCUCAGCCCACUGCUCAGGAGAAAAGGUAGUACUUAUAGAGGGUUUAACCUGCUCGGCUUGAAGAGGAGGGAACUUGAUUUCUUCAAUCGGAGUGAUGUUGCCUUGGCGAUCCUUCUUGAACUUUGCAAGGAACUCCUGCAAGUCCUUCUCCUCGCGCGCCUUCUUGUACUCCUCAUAGACUUGGCGAUGAUCGGCCGAUAUCUCAUCAAGACUGGGCUUAAUGAUGUUAUCGGCGUCUACCUCAGAUGGCUUGGGAAGAUCGGACAUGGUGGAUGAUGAUGAUUGAUCUUCGGUCCCCAGCGGAGUCGCCAAAAAGUGUGUUGACACACGAACACGUCACGUGUACCCUCGACGCCGGGGGUGAUGCACCGCAGCUCACGUCGAAGGAGACCCGACCGACAGCGCGAUACGCAAGACAGUCGGCGGGUGCUUUUGCAGACCCGAAACCCGGCGCACCCGGGAGGGACCCCGUCAGGGAUUGCGGCGGCUAUGGGCUGCCCUAGGUCGAUUCGCUCGCCCCUAGAGCCUCGGGAUUCGCAGCUCUCAAACACAAAGAACAGCGAAGAACGAGAGAGAAAAAACGGCGGAGAGAUAAAAAGUAGACAGGAAAAAGUAGUAUAUUGAUUUGUUCGAUUGUGUGUUGUUCAAUCGGCCGUCACCCCCAACAUAUAUAAGAGGCGGCUGGACUUCCAGUACAAGUAAAGGAUUCAUCUAGGCUUUCCUUACAAGAAAAAUUACAUCAAUUCGCGUCCUAGAGUCCUAGUUCUAUUCCAACUCGGAUUUAGUCUGAAUCUGGUCCAACUUCUGUCUUCCUCCUUGUGCAGGCCUUCGAGCUUGCAUAUGAUCUCCAAUCAAGACGGCCCAAAUAUCAAACUUGUGCGCCUCGACGAGACGAACAACUCUCAUGUUGAUCACUUUUCCAAAUAAGGCCAUCUUGAAUACUUUUCGAAGUCAUCUUUACCUUCCAGUCGGACUCGGUCUUGCAGUAGACCGGAUUAUCCGAGUCUCGUAGUGAAUUUUCCGGCCAUAUACUAUCUCUGAUGAUGAUGAAUCCAAAACCAAAGUUUACCGUCUUGAUGAUACGCACAACUUCUGUAUCGAACACUUCUUCAUCCGAGGUCAUCUUGAUAAACUUUCGGGCACAUGUUCAGUUUCACUCGGAUUUGAGCUCAUCCACUCGGAUAUUAGAGUCUUUCACUCGACUGGACCUUUUCACUCGGAUGACUAUAUUUUCACUCGGAAGACAAUCUUUCACUCGAAUGAUGACCACAUUUUCAGUCGGAAGACAAUCUUUUACUCGAUCGGUAGGUUUUCACUCGACCUUUUACUCGAUCGGUAGGUUUUCACUCGACCUUUUACUCGAUCGGUAGGUUUUCACUCGACCUUUUACUCGAUCGGUAGGGUUUUAUCCUUUUACUCAAUUGGUAGGUUUUCACUCGACCUUUUACUCGAUCGGUAGGUUUUUACCCGAAAGGUAAGCUUUCACUCGACCGGUGAGUUUUCACUCGGAUGGUAAGCUUUUCACUCGAUCAAAAACAUAGCUUGAUCUUGAUUUGUCUCCCCAAGUUUCAUACGACCUCGGAUUGAGACGAAUUAUAUAUGAAAAUCGAUUGUAUCGACGAGACAAAACUUUUUCGUGUUGAAGGUUUUUCGAUUCAGUGCCGUCUUGAAGGCCGAAUUGCUCGCGCGACCCAUCAGACAGGGCAUGUGGUACUUCGCGCCAUAUUUCCACUUAGCUUCGGUCUGCAGUGUAUUGCCUCUAACUUUUGCAUACGAACUCGGAUUGAGAUGAUUUAUAUAUCAAAAUCGAUCGCCUCGACGAGACGAAGACAAUUCCUUUAGAGCACUCCUUCAUCCGAGGUCGUCUUGAAGGCAUGGUCGGCCGAAAACCACUCGGAAUGUUGAAUUUAGUCACUCGAAGUAGAACUUCGGCCACCGAGAUAAGGUCGAAUGGCGAUAAAUUAAACAUCAAAGUUAUUCCACUCAGCGACCUGAAACUUUGCAUGCUGAAAACUCUUUCACUUGAAGCCAUCUUACUUGCCUUUUGUACCUUGCCAAAAUCUUAUGUCAACACUUAUCAUCUUUUUACGCUUUCGUGACUAUUUUAUCACAUCAGGGUUGUGGCAUAAGUUCAACCCAAACACGUUUCGACAAUUCGGCAACUCCUAGGAAACCUGUGGGUUUUCUCUUUUUUUUUUCAAGAAAAAAACUUGCAUAUCUAUAGUUUCCCGUAGAAAAAAGGAUCUUUAGUUUUUACGAGCUAUUAUCGUAAUAAGACCAGGUUUCUUGUGUGGGUGACUGAGUCCUUGGAAUUUCGUGCCCCGCAAGUGUUUCCAAUCUCAUACGCCUACUGGUACCCUUGCCCGGGGGUUGUUCCCGGUAGGUGCGAUGAGGGGAGUUAGAGCAUCUCCAGCCGUUGGCCCCCCCGGCGGCGAAUUUACGCGCCCCCGGGGGCGAGCCGGCGCUAAAAUCGACGUGGGGGCGAGCGGGUUCCCAGCCGCUCGCCCCAGGGUCGCCCCUAGACACGGUUUUUUUUUAAAAACACAGAAUUCGGCAAAGUUUGGCAAAUUGGACAAAACAUUCGGCUAAAGUUCGACAAACUUGACAUAUAUUCGACAUGUUCGACGUUACAUAAGUUAUUUAAAAAAACCCAACUAAGGGGCGAAGAAGUCGCUGAGCGCGGCGAAGUCGCCGACGUCGCCGCCAUCCUCGUCGUCGGCGGCGGCGGCGGCCUUCUCCUUCAUGACGCGGCCGCCCCUGCUGGACCCCUGCCCGGCGUCGCCGUAGCGGACCGGUGACGGCGGCGCGUCGUCGUCGCUGUCGUCGAGGACGACGACGCCUCCCUCGUCCCGGCCACGGCGCCGAGCUUCGAACCGCUCGUAGGCGAGGCGCUGACGCUCCAGCUCCGUGCGUGCCCAGUCAUCACGCGCCCAUUUGAGGGCCGCCGCGUCGUCGAGCUCCUCCUACUUGACGCCGCCGGCGAGCCCGGGCUCCGUCAUCACGACGGGGAGCCCCGGCUCCGUCUUGACGGCGGCGAGCCCCGGCUCCGUCUUUGGAUUGACGUAGCGUGGAGAAGCCGCGGAGGAGGCACGCUAGCCACCCUCGUUGAUGAUGAUGCCGGCGCUGCGGGUGCGCCAACCGAGCGGCGUCUCCGCGGCGGGCUCGGCCUUGACGCCGAACAGCGCCGGCGAGCCGGAGGAGUGGGAGGAGGAGCGGGAGGAGGACUGAGAGGAGGAAAACGAGGAGGGGCCGAACCUCUUGGGCACCCAUGGCCCGGCACUCCGGCUGGGGGGGGGGGCGUGGCGGCCACCGUGGCAGGGUAUGCCAACGACGGGACAUUGCCGCCCUCGAGGUAUGCCAGCACCUCGUGGAAUGUGCGGCCGGGGACACCCCACCAGACGCGGCACCCGUCACUGUUUUUGACGCCGCCCACCACCGGCGCCCCGUUUGUGGACGUCAGCCGCUGCGCCUGCCGGCGCUGAAAGUACGCCGCCAACGACGCGUGGUUGUCGGCGGCGUACUGGGCGAGGGCGCGCUGCUCAUCCGUCAGGGACGCCCGCACGCGGUCGACCUCGGCGGCGAAGAUGCCGGGGCGCGCGUCGACGUCGGGCACCAGGGGGAUGGGACGCCCCCGUUGCUUAGCCUCCACCCCGUCGGCCCGGCGCGCAUGUCCGGCAGCGCCGGGAUGUUGGCCUCGAAGAGGAGGUACGCCUCCCACUCCUGGAGAGAGCGGCGGCCGAAGCCGUUGGCCGCCGCCGAAUCACCGGGGAAGCGUUCGGCCAUUGCUUAGUGAAGGGAAGGGGAGGAAAGGCAGAUAGGCAGAGCUCGGCGGCAGACGGAAGAGGGGCAAAGAUCGGCGGCUGGUUUUGGGCUCGGGCUGGUGUGGCCAACGGCGAGGGGGAGCCGCUGGUUUUAUAGCCCGCUCCGUGUGUACGCGUGGCGGGAGGGGAGGCGUCGCAGCGCCGCCCGUGAGGAAUCAAUGGCAAGGCUGACCGGCGGCAGCCUUGCCAUUGAUUCCCCGCGGGAAACCGAGGCGUUCUGGGGGAAGAUGAGGCGCGGUGUCGCUAACGCGACUGGCCCGCGGCUCUUUCGCGCCAAAACCGCUCGCUCCGGCGCCUCCGGGCGCCCCAGCGCGCCGGGGUCGGCUUGGGUCCGCCGGCGCCAGUUUCGGCCCAAGCUGGCGAAAAACGGGCUUCUGGAACGCGACUGGACCGAUUUUUGAACGUCGGCACCGGAAAAACGUCUGGGAAGAGUCUGUUGAUGGCGCGGCUCGAGAUGCUCCUAUGUCUGUAUCCCAGAUAUGUGGUUGGUUACCAGGUGUCCGCUCUCGUGUGCGAGUUCUACCCACCUGUCACCCCACCCCCAUGGUGUCGUACUCUUGUUGGUCGACGCAGUGUUUUACCACGAAAUGACUUCUUCGGACGGGCUUACUCCAGCACUGUACUUUUUAAGGCCCAGCCGUGUGUCGAUGGGAGCAGUACUACCACCCGUCACCUGUCUACAUCACCAAUGUCACCUCAGCGCGUGCAAAUCCUACUUGCCCUCCUUGCUCUGGCCAUCGCCGUCGACGGCCGCAGCCUUGUCUCGCUGCCACCGGCGCCGCACCCCACCCAGCCGCCACAAGCACUUUUUGUCGGGAGCUCCUAACCGGCGCCUUAAGCGCCAGUUCAGGCAGCUGGCGUUCGCAUGCCUUACCCCCUGGGCCGGCCCACCGCACGCAGUAGAAGGAAAAAACGUCUCGCGAAAAAAGUGCAGAUACAGGCACUCGACCUCACUUUCUCAAAAAAAAAAAGGCACUCGACCUCCCGACUUGCGGCUACAACACAAUAACUGUUUCGCUAACCACUACGGCUUCUGAGGACUAGUGAUUACAAAGAACGCGAAAUAUUUAUGAACCAAUGCAUCAGCGCUAUUUAUUAGAUUUGCGAAUUAUUUGCAAACAAUUUGGAAAAGUUGAUUUCUUUAAUGAAAAAGACUUCAUCAAAUUUUGAAAAAGAAUAACGAAAUUAAAAAAAAACAGUUCAUUGAUGUUUAAUAAAAGUUGAGUGAAUUAGAAAAAAGUUCAUCAAUUUUCAAAAAAAACUCAUCGAAUUUGAAAGAAAAGUUCAUCAAGUUGAAAAAAUUCAUCCUUCUUUUAUAAAAAAGUUCAUCGAAUUUGAAAAAAGUUCAUCGGAUUUGCGAAAAGUUCAUCGAAUUUGAAAAAACAUUCAUCAAUUCAAAAAAAGUUCAUCGAUUCUGAAAAAAGUUCACCGAGUUUGAAAAAAGGUUCAUUAGUUUUGAAAAAAAGUAUACAAACUUCAAAAAAGGUUCACAAAUUUAACAAAAACGUUCAGUGUACAUCAAAAUAUGUUCAAUGGGUAUUUCAAUGGUUUUUCAGCACAUAUCACAAAAUUGUUCAAUCUGUAGUUAAAAAUUGUUCAGAUUAUAUUACAAAAAUGUUCAAUAUAUAAAAUUUGUUCAUCUUAUAUCAAAAAAAUGUAUAAUAUGUUUUAAAUUUAUGUCAAUGUAUAUCACAAAAAUGUUCGCUGUGUAGUUAAAAAUUGUUCAUCAUACACCGAAAAAAUGUUCAAUGUAUAUUUGAAAACCGCUCGUCAUAUAUAAAUUUUUGUUCAUGAUCUCAAUAAUUGUUCACGUUUUAAAAAGUUCACGGAUUUCAGAAAUUUAUUAAUUCGAUGAGGCUUUUAAAAAAAGUUUAUCGAUUUUGGAAAAAGUUCACCGACUUUUUUAAAAAGAUCAUCAAUUUGAAAAAUAAGUUGAUCGAAAUUGAAAAUAAUUUCAUUAAAUCUGAAAAAAGUUCAUCGAAAUUCAAAAAAUGUUCAUCAAUUUUGGAAAAGAGUUCGUCGAAUUUGAAAAAAAUUCACUGAUUUUGGAAAAAGUUCAUCAAAUUUGGAAAAAGUUCACCGAAUUCGAAAGAAGUGCAUCGGAUUUCAAAAAUAGUUCAUCAAAUUUAAAAAAAAGGAUCAUCGAUUUUGGAAAAAGUUCACUAAUUUUUUUAAAAAGAUCAUCAAUUUGAAAAAUAAGUUCAUCGAAAUUGAAAAUAACUUCAUUAAAUCUGAAAAAGUUCAUCGAAAUUAAGAAAAAAUUCAUCAAUUUUGGAAAAGAGUUCAUCGAAUUUGAAAAAAGUUCACCAAUUUUGGAAAACAGUUCAUCAAAUUUAGAAAAGAGUUCAUCAAAUUUGGAAAAAGUUCACCGAAUUCGAAAGAAGUGCAUCGAAUUAAAAAAAGUUCAUCAAUUUUGGAAAAAGUUCAUCCAAUUAGAAAAAAUGUUCAUCAAAUUUGUAAAGAAAGUUCUUCAAUUUUCAAUAAAUUUCAUCGAUUUUGGAAAAAUUUCAUCAAUUUGUAAAAUAGUUCAUUGAAAUGAACAAAAGAAGAAAAGAAAUCAAAGAAAAUCCUUCUGAAUAAAGAAGAAAAACGAAAAAAAUAGACAUGGAAGAAAAGAGUAAAGAAUAUUUUUUGAACACAUGAACUAGUAGUGGUGUGGUGGUUGGUGGAUGGUGCGAAUGAAGAUGAGGUCGCGGGUUCGAUUUACGCCCGACGCGUUGCUUUUUGCUGAUUUACAGCAGAAAAAGAAGAGACGAUGGGCCGGCCCAAAGAAGACGCAUGAAGGAGGGAGAGGUGUGCGCCCGUUUGCGCGGAUGGCUAUAGCGGGCGCAACAGGCGCCGUUUAGGGAAUGCCCUUUUUGUCGCACCACCAGUAGCUCCACCGCCCGCCGCCACCCCAACUACAGUCCGGGACCAUCACCCACCAGGCCACCACCGCCUGCUCUCACAUCAGCGUCUCUGCCGCCACCAACCUCGUCAACCUACCAGCUCAGUAUUACCGGCCGGAACCUGCUCGUCUGCGUAAUCGUUUCGUUCGUCGCAGGUUGCUUAUGCUAUGCGGUCUUCAUCAUCGUCGUAGCGCGGUCGGAAAAGCCAACGACGACGCAGGUGAACCAACAGCCUCAAGGCGAGGAAAGUUCAAUGAACAGCGCCGCGCGUCAGUGUGCAUGUGGCCUCGCUAAGUUUCUCCUCUUCAGCACUUGACAUUUGUUGCUCUCGGUUUCUCUCUAAGGCGCUGAGGUAAACCGAGAGAUACAACUAUUGCGCGAAAAUAAAGGCAAUGUUGUAACAGAAGGUUAACUAUGCAUUCGAAGUAGUUGUUUGGUCACUCUAAAUGGUUCCUUUUUUCUAGGUAGAGAAGGACUUCUCACUUUGUAAUCUUGAGUUCAAAUAUCUGGAUUGACUCGACGCAAAGCUUUUCUUUUCUUGGUUAUUAUUUUAAUCCUACUUAACUUGUUUACCAUUUGUAUGUUAAACGUGUAAUCUAGCUACGCUUAUUAUUGAACUGGGUCCUAAGAGCAUCCCUUGCCGAUCCCCUAAGGGGUUGUUUGGAUAAUUUGAAUUAGUUGCAAGAUUAUAGGAAACGAGUUUUGAGAGGAGUUUUAGGAAAACCAGUUUUCGCUAGUAUUUCUGUUAUAGUAGGUUUAUAUAAUUUUUUGUUUCGAUGAGAAAACGGGAAAACGAGAUUAAGCAUUUUUUUGUUUGGGUCACCACCCUCUCAUGGUCACGGACCCUUUGCUUCUGGCAACCCGCUUCGAGCUCGUCGCCGGUGAGAACGUUGGUCACGAGCCCAAGCACAGGAGACAACGCGAGUGCAUGGGCGAAGGGCACGCCACUACGAGGCAGACGCUGUGCCAGCCACAACCAAGCUGAGCACACGGACAUGCCGGCCGACGACGCCGCAGCCAGGCUGAGCGUUCUCACCUUCCGGCGAAGCAGCCAACCACAGCCAAGCUGAGCACACGGACAUGCCGGCCGACGACGCCGCAACCAGGCUGAGCGUUCUCACCUUCCGGCGAAGCCAACCACAACGCCGUCUCGUUCGUGACGCGGGGGAGCAUCGCCGGCCGGCAAUCGCCACGGCCGUCGACGCUGAGGACAUGCAUGCACAGAAGUAGACGACGAACGCAUGCCGGAGACGAUGGGAAUGAUGCCCAUAAUGCCAUAGUCGAAUCUGCAGACGUCGCUAGAUCCGAACAGGCCGUGCGAUGGCGGGGUACAUACAAAACUCGUUUUUAGAAAAACGUCGAUUAGUCAUUUUUCCAAAAGCUGGCUUUUUGGGCUUUUAUAAAACCCAGUUUUGCAUAUACGCAAAUUAGUUAGAUUACCCAAACGAGUUUUUAGGUGGUUAUACCAGAAAUCGCGUUUAACGAGAUCUGGCUCUCUACAAACCCUUUAUCCAAACAACCCCUAAAAAAGACUCCGUUCCCUUAAAAAGGACUUUUUAUGGAGUGAUAACAAUUUGGUUUUGAGAGGUAAAGCCACACCUAGCUGAUACCGUAUUCAGUUUAGAGGAGUAAAAAUUUACUCAUCAACGCGGCUGCUCUUAUAUUUACUCGAGUGAUGUCUCUUCUCCAACAAAAAAAAUCACCCUCCCGCGCCGCACCUCUCGCUCACACCGCGCCGAUGCCCAAAUCCGCCUCUUAUAUUUACUAGUGGAGUGCCCGUGCGUUGCCACGGGCUCUUGAAAUAGUUUACCAGAGUUACAUGUUCAAAUCCACACAUACCAACAAUAUAACACAAACUGAAGUCCAUUAUUACAAUGUAACAAGCUGAGUGAUGUUACAACUUAACAUAUUUUAUAAAAAUAUUAAUAUCUAGAUGAUGCGCUUAAGAAAUUCUUUCACAAUAUCUGAAAAGUUUCCUCUAGCUUCAUUCCCGCGAUGUUUUAGCAAGUAUAAUAAAAAAUGCUUCCUCAAUUCAUACCCAUCCUGCAGAAAAAAUAAAUGUAGUUAGUAUGAAAAAUUCACGGAGAAGGUCUUAAAACAUAUUACCCACAAUACUCACCGCCCCGCUGACGCCGUUGGCUGCCAGGUGCUCCAGUGGGGUGAGCGAUCCGGCUGCCGCUGCUGUUGUCACUACUGCUCCUGAGGCGUCCUUGGACCAGGGAUGGGUGAAGGUGGGGGGCCGGCGUCGUUCGGCGUCGCCGACAUCGGCUCUGGCUCCCCGGCCUAUCCCUGCCUGGCUCCGCGGUCGAUGUUGCAGAUGCCUCGCCCCUGGACACCGGCCGGCGGUUUGCAGAGAUCCCUUCCGAUGCUCUCGUUGCUUGGAGAACGGUCAUCGUGCUCGUGACUGCCGCAACCCAUGGCGUUCUCUCAGCUCUCUGGCAUAUCUUGUUGUCCCGCCCGUCUCUCGCCUUGGCAUCCAACAUUGUCAACCUCCUACUCCAAGAGAGGCCCUUCACCGUGGAUCUUGGGCGUCUGUGGUUUCUGCUUCCGCUAGCCCGACAUCCCCAUCCAUUGAUGUGCUUCAGACCGCUCUGGCUGAUCAGACCGAGUUGCUUCAGGGUUGGCAGACACGUAUUGAGAGCUUCCUGGAACGGGCUGAGGCUGCUUUGAGCAGGCUCUCCUUUUUGCCGGCUACGUUUCUGGCCACGCAUACACCACUCCCUCAUGUUGGCUCCACGGAGGACGAAGGGGCAGAUCCUUAUGGUUGUUUCUCCCCUCGUGUUCGGGACAAUUCAUCAUUGAUGUCUGCUUCGUCCGUUGUGCAUGCCGAUGUGGGCGAGUCCAUCGCCGUGCUUGCGGCUCCGGUGCUACAGCUCAUGCCCGAGCUUCGGGAUAUAUGUUCGAGCCCUGCUUCGCCUCUGUCCUUGGAGCGGUUGGAAGUGGACUCGUCGACAACCUUGUGUGAGGGGCAUGUUUUGCCUCUGUCGUGUGAGCAAUUGGAGGCGCCGAAGUCCAUUGUGUCGAUGGUUCCUGUGGUGGAGGAUGAUGUGUUGGGGGUUCCUCGGGCCGAUGAUGCCGAUGCGGCCGGUCUGUUGGUGCCUGCCCCUAGUAGGAGCCCCUUGGUUGAUGACAACUACAUCAAGAAGUACAAUGAGUUCUAUGAUUUUCUUGACAAAUGGGUGGCGGAUCAGUCUGGACCGGCAUCACAAGUGGUUGCCUCCCCAAGAAGAAACCCAAUAGGGAGAAAGCAAAGAGAAACAAAAGCAAGAAGGGCGGUGUCAUUCGGAAGACGCCCACGAUUUCAUGAUGGAGGGUGCUCCGUUUUUAUCGUGGUCGAUGUUCUUGUGUGAAGCUCCGCUGUGUUGUACAAGUGUCAAGGGUUUCGGUUGUGGUGCAUUGGGAGGGCCACAUGUGCGGUCACGGUGUUUCCUGUUCUGUGAGUAGUACGACUUGGGUUGUUUGUAUCGGUUUUUGCCCGGUUUUCCAAAAAUUAACUGGGCAAUUCUCUUCUUCUUAAUUAAUCGAUGAGGCAAAUCUUUUGCCUUCGUUUCAAAAAAAAACAAUACUCACCGCGCAAACCGGCUUGACCAAUUCUGUACCGUUCCACCAGAGCAUAAAAUGAAAAACAAAAUAGCCAGACACAUUCCUGGAAAACUUUCAAUUAAUAUUAUAAAUAAUAUAAUGAUAACAAAAGUAUAUAUUCUUGUGUUGAAUUCAUUACCCGUCUAUACUCGUUGGAACUCCGGCCGGAAAUAAAUGAUGCCAUUUAGAUAUAUCAGAAUUCCACCCAGGCAGCUUUAUUUCGAGUGCUUCUUUGAAAUCCCUUGAAAAACUUUUUAAUUUCAGUGAAUGCCUCAAGUUUUUAUACUCUGACGAUUGUGAUGAUUGAAUAGGAUCCAUAAUAUAUAAAUGACGUGCCUCUUUGUCGAUGAUGUAUAGGAUGUAUCGGCCGAUGGAUGCAUAAGGAAGAUAAAUCUACAAGUGGAGCUAUUAGAAACAAAAACAAACCAUGAUAAAAAUACUUACAAAAUAUUUUAUUUACCUUAUUGCAAGAUGAGAUGUCGGUCUCCAUCCCAGGCCAGCAAUCAAAUAAUGUUGUCAACGUCUGGAUAGUUUCCUUCUCACAAAACUUCUGACCUCGUAUUGACUCUAGCAGCAUGGACUAAGUAAAAGAAAAAAUAAAUUGUUUCAACAUGUUGAUACUAAUGGCACCUAGAAUGAAGAAUUACGGUAACUUACACAAAAUCGUAGAUCCAUGUAGUGUAUAGGAGGGUCUGUGAACAAUACUCCCUCGUCACAUGCCAGCAUAAGCAUGGCGGUGUUGAAGCAAUCAUUGUCCAUGGGCUGCUCCACGUUAAGUAUGCACUGAAGUUUCUUAAGACUUAACCUUAUUGGAUCGGGUGUGGAGCUCUGGACCCAUACCUUCCUGUAAUUUGGAUGGUAAGAAGAACAAUAAUAUACAUCCGCACAUUAAAUAUUGAUACAUGAUACUUACUCCAAACAUCCAACAUCAUUGAUUGACAUGAUGUAGUUGCAGAGGCCGGCAAAUAUUUCACGUUGGUCUGUGGGAAUGAUAGUGAUUGGGGCGGGACGUUUCUCUUCGACCACGUCAGAUGGAUUAUCCAGGACCUCAAGAUCAGAAUUAGAUAAAGUUUCUUCCUUGAGAGGUUGAUGGUACAUGGGACAUCCUUUUAACUUAUUAAGCUCUGAAUCGAGCAAAAUAAUUGCUAAUUUUUGUCGAAAAUGUUUCAUAUCCUCCUACAUAAAAAAUAUGAAAACAAUUUAUAAGACAUUUUGAUAAAACAAUACGAGAUAAUGUAUAACACUAAAAUACCUGCGUAAACUGGCCUGACAGUCCAUGUGGUGUCCAAUAUUCCAUAAAAUCUAGCAUAAACAAUCAACAUGAUACGCUAUAAUAUUAUAAAACAAUGCUUUAGAAUAUCACACAGAUGAAUCUAAAAACAAACUAUUGAAACAAGUGCUUACCCAUCGGUUUGUAUUGCCUCCUGAAUUUGCUCUACAACCGUCCAUUUUGUAACAUUGAGAUCAGGCCACUUAUGACCUUUGAUAAACUCCGUACUAUGCUCUGCAAGUUCCAGCCAUUUCUCGAGCCUAAUAACUUCUAUAUAUAUGAGGAAUGUUAAGGAUGAAGUCAAACAAAACAAAUGCUAAGAUGAGAAAAGAAAUAGAUAGUUACCGUAGUAGCAAGGUCAUUGCGUUUGACAUUCUCACCAAGUGAGUCCAAUACUUGGAUCUCUCGUUUUUUGGCGUUGGCAACUGCUAGAUACCAAUGGUAGCCCGGCAUGUUAAUCGGAAUGAAUAACUGGUUUAACAAAGAUACAAUUCACGGUCACAAUUAGAUACAGUUAUUAAUAAAUCAUUAAACAUAUGAACUAAAUAAAAACAAUCCAUAAUUAUAUGCAUGGAUUACGAGACAAAAGCUAACCAUAUCUUGUUGUAGAUAACUAUUAACAUGACGCACGAUGCGACAAUAUUUUGAUGGGUCUAUGUCUCUUUCCCCGUCUUCUUUUAUCUGGCCCGAUAUAAACGUGCUAAUAAUGUGUACCUUUUCACCCGCCCUGUGUUGUAGAUGCUCGUGAGCAAGCAUACAAUAUAUGUAAGCAUUUAUCACCUGCAAAAAAUAUUUAGAUUAUAUUUAUAAAUUAUGGUAUUAUAUAUAAUCAAUUAAUUACAAAGAUUGUGCAAUUGGUCUUACACCGUCAUGUAAGAACAUGUCAUUUUUUAUAAGGCAUUCCAAAUCGUCUUUUGCUAAUAAGGCAUCUCCAAUGUCCACAAAUUGGGUAUUCUUAGGGGCAGACCUGAUUGAUUCGAUGACUGUAAUAUCUCUAGGGGUACAAACAUAGUCUAUGAAAUUCAUACAAAAGUGAGACAGCUUAGUAAACAAUAAAAGACAGAAGAGUUGAAUACAAAAGACAAUAUCACAAAAAAUGUUGAUAAUAAUAUAAAAAAAUACCUUGUGGGAUAACAUGUAAAUUAGCAUCCUUUUUUGGUUUAUUAUGAGAUAUAACCUCUUUGACGUGAUUAUGUUGUGAAUUUCCGGCCCCUUGCAGCGACAUUGCAUCUGAACCCUCAAUGGAUUCUUUCCGUGAAUCUCCAGAGUCCAUAUCCAUGUAUACUAUAUUCUGACAAAAAAAAAUAUAAAAACACCAUUCAUUGUAUCGUAUAUAUAUAAUAUAUAUACAGAGUAAGGUUAGCUAUAUGCACCUCUUCUCGCGGUGUUUCAGUGCGGUCUGUCAUCGUUGCAUCAGUGCGUAUCUCGGAACCCAUCAAUUUAUAUCUAUGCUAAAAUAUAUUUAAUAUUUUUUACUACAUCAUAAAACUAUACAUAAUAUAUAAUAGAACUGUAUCUGAAACUAAAACAACUAUUUUAUCUGAUAAUAAUAAAAGCAUUUGGUUAUAUUAGAAACAAAUGCUGCUUAAAUCAUUAUACAAACAGAACAAUUCGGGGAAAACAAAAAUCUAUAAUGUUCAUAUAAGUUAGUAGGCAUUUGAAAUUGCUUAAACUAUUUUAAAUCAAAUGAUAGGCUAUGGAAAAUUGGCAAACAAAAACAAAAACAAACAACCCAACAUUAACAAAGUUUAUUUGUUUCAAAGUUUACGAUUUUCAAAGUUUGUUCUCAAUAUUCAACAAGUGUUUGUGCUUGUAAAAAAAUGUUCACGCUUCCAAAAUUGUUCAAUUUUUUUAAAAUGGAUCUCAUUUUCGAAUGUACUUAAAAGAUUCAAAAACAGUUCGUGGUCCCAAUUCUGUUCAAUUUCAUCAAAAUUUUCAUUUGUUUAAAAGUUUCUUCUCAAAAUUGAUAAUAAAUUUUCUUUUGCAAAAUUUGUUCACUUUAUCAUAUUUGCUAUCUAUUUCCAAAAACAUUCAUGUAUUCAAAAGAGAAAUAAUGUGAUGAAGCAGAAAAGAAAUAAAUAUAAAUAAAAAAGAAAAAUAAUUUGGGCCGGCCCAGUUGGGACGAACCCUUUGCGAUGUAUAAAAAUAAUUAAAAAAAGUUCUUGUAUGAAAAAAAACUAUUUUAAGUGAAAAUAAGAAAACCUAAUUUAAGUGAAAAUAUGAUAUUUCCUACUGGAUCAUAUAAUUAUAUAUAAUAUAUAAUAAGAAUUUAAGUGAAAAUAAGAAAACUUUUUGUAUGAAAAAAAACCUAAUUUAUAUUAUUAUAAAUAUAUGUUGUUUAAAUAAAUGUCGUACCCCAUGAAAAUCCAGGAAAAACAACUAACCAUAGUAUUCUUAUAUAAUAAGUAAUUAUUUGAAAAAUAUUUAAAUUAAUAAUUUAGUCUAUGGAAAUAUAUGCAACAAAAUAAAAUAAAACAUGCAAACAAACAUUAUUCAACCAAGUAUAUUUGUGUUUUCUAUUAUUUGCCCCCCACAUUUUGUUGUUGUGAUGCCCUUGGUUUAUUUAAUAAGUAUAAAAAAAUGUAUAUUUUUAUGAACCAUGUAUAUUAUUAUACACUGUUAUUGAUUUUGUGAGGUAUGUAUAAUUUAUAUAUAUAUAUGGACAUUUGUUUUGGAUACACAAAAUUACAGAGGGCCACAUAAAAGGCUGGGCCAGGCCCAGCCCGUGGCAACGCACAGGCGACGGCCCACCUCCACCACGCGACGGCACACCUCCCCCGAGUGACGGCCCACAUCCCCCGGGCGACGGCGCACCUACCCCGGCCGACGGCCCACCUCCCCCGCCUCCCACAAAACCUGUCGCCACCUACCCCCCGCAACCUUAUCCCAUUCACUCCUCACUCCACUCUCUUCAACUCCCCCUUUCCCCUCCGCCGCCGCAUCGCCGCGCGCGUCCACGUGACGCCGGCCACGCGCGUCCACGAGCCGCUGGCCGCGCUCCUCCGCCCGCUGUUGCCGCAUCAGGCCCUCACCUAUCCUCUCCACCCUUGCCAGUCGCCACAUCUAGCCCGCUCACCUCCCCCUGCCGCAUCGUCGCACACGUCGCCUAGCCCGCAACGUCCACGACUCCGCCAGCCGACCACCGCAGCAGUCUCCGGCGACCCGUGUGCGACCGCAGGUGACGCACACAUCGAGCAACAUCGACCGGGCGCGGGUGCUGGAUCUGGUCGCCGUUCGGAGAGCAUGUACUAAUCUCCGGCGAGUUCCUUGCGCAGAUCGGAAGAGGGGUGCCUCGAUCUGCCAUAGCAUAUGGUUAGGUACGCCGAUCCGAACCCUGAGUUGGAUUUGUUUGACUGUUGGCUGCUUCCGUGGGUUCGUUUUCUGAUGGAUGCAUUUUUGCUUUGCGCCCCAGGCUUCGGCGGGAUCGGCAGGCCUGUGGCCAGGGUUGCGCUCUAGAGCCACGAUGUCGAGCUCGUCACCGUCAACGACCCCUUCAUCACCACCGACUACAUGGUACCGUUCUCGAAUCUCUUAGCUUAUGAGAUCUACGGGCACGUAUGGUAGGGUCGUUUUGGAUCCGUGCAUGAGACACCCGUUUAUAUUCACUGGAUCCGAAACCUGAGUUGGAUUGUUUACUGUUGGCUGCUUCCGUGGGUUCGUUUUCUGAUGGAUGCAUGCACUGGCGGAGCCUUAUGGACGCAAAACGGGGUCGUGACCCCCCAUUUCAAACUGCACUUGUGUUACUAUUUGUAUAUAUGAGGUAUAUGUAUUAAGUGUUUUACCCCAGCCAUCGGUGGAUGACUCCCAUUCAAUCUAUAGCUAGCUAGCACAAGCAGCUUGAUUAAUUUUUCGUACAAACUUAGGUAGCUAGUACAAGCAGCUUGAUCGAUAUAUGUACGAGUAGCUUCCUGCUUGUUACUUGUUGCAUCUUCUGCCAUCACUAAGAUUUACCGUCUACUUGCUACUGCAUAUGCAUGGAAUACGAUGAGUCGGCAACCAACAAUUGAUGAGCCUGACUGCCAGAGAAUGGAAGGAGCAAGAUGUGCUUGAUUACCAUGUAAUUUUGUACGAUUCACAUCUGUUUUCAUGCAUAUUUUGCUUUGACUUACAACAUUGCCCCCCCCCCCCCUUAAUUGCUUGUCAUGCUCCGCCACUGGAUGCAUGUUAUCUUUGCCCUGCAGGUUUCGUCCGGAUCGGCAGGCUUGUGGCCAGGGUUGCUCUCCAGAGCCCCGAUGUCGGGCUGGUCGCCGUCAACGACCCCUUCAUGAGCACUGACUACAUGGUAUCGUUCUCGAUUCUCCUAGCUUAUGAGAUCUACGGACACGUAUGGUAGGGUCGUUUUGGACUAGUGCAUGGGACACCCGUUUAUAUUCACUGGAUUACGAGCUUGGAUAUGUGCUAAACAUGAAUGGAUUUGAUCUUCUACUUACACGCUGAUGCUUUGCUACACAAUCAUAAGCACAAUUAAAUAGCGAUGUAUAUGAAUCUAGUGAAUGUCUCUACAUGUCUGUCUGUAUCAUCAGUUAGGUAGUUCCAGGUUUGAGGAAUCUAUUUGUUCCACGCAGUGACUAUUGUUCCAUUGUGGUAUUUAUAAUAUAUGUACACCUGGUAGUAUUCUGUAUUAUCUUACUAAAUAAAACACAUGCAGGCUCCAUGCCAGUUAGUACUUAAUUAAAGCAUAGCGCUACUAAUUGUCUCAUAUUAUGGUUCUGAAUUAUGUGCUUGUAACUGGCAGACCUACAUUUUCAAGUAUGACACUGUCAACGGACAGCGGAAGCACCAUUGAGUUAAGGUGAAGGACUCCAAGACCCUUCUCAUCAGUGAGAAGGAGGUUGCUAUUGUUGUUUUCACUGACAAGGACAAGGCUGCAGCUCACAUAUAGGUACAUUCUUUCACACUUUCCUUUUAAUGGUACCUGAAUAUUUCUUGUGUAUAAUUUACUAAAUUAGUUUUCUGUGUCACCACUUUCAGGGUGGUGCCAAUAAGGUCAUCAUUUCUGCUCCCAGCAAGGAUGCUCCCAUGUUUGUCUGUGGUGUCAAUGAGAAGGAAUACAAAUCUGACAUCGACAUUGUCUCCAACACUAGCUGCAGCACUAACUGCCUUGCUCCUCUUGCUAAGGUGCUUAUCAUUGAAGUUUUGUGCAGCUCAAACCAACCGCCAAUACUGGGAAUUGUAUACUAAUAAUUUGUUUCUUUUAGGUUAUCAAUGACAGGUUUGGCAUCGUUGAGGGUUUGAUGACAACAGUUCAUGCCAUGACUGGUAAUGCAUUACACUGGGUUUUUUCUUUAACAUUUUAUAUUAUAUAUUUGACUAUUGUAUGCUUAUGUGUGGCUGAACUUUAAAUUUACAGCAACCCAGAAGACUGUUGAAUGUCCUUCCAGCAAGGACUGGAUAGGGGGAAGGGCUGCUAGCUUCAACAUCAUUCUGAGCAGCACUGGUGCCGCGAAGGUAUAUUAAGCUGGCCUUCUAUUAUAUGAUCAGUUAACUGAUUGAACAAUGUAGGUUGAUGGAUUAUCUGAUUCUUGUUGCCCGUAGCAACACAUCAUAAAGUUAACUUAUUGAAUUGUCACGGCUUGGAUCUUAUCGAAUGUUUAAAUCUACUAUAAGAAUAUACAAGCUGAUGCUUCUUGGUUUAAUGUUAGUUUUUCUGGCUCAAAUAUAUUUAUGAGAUUUCAUUAAAAACUUAGGCAGUCAACUAUGGUCAGAAUAGGCUGUUAGCCUAUAAUAUCUGAAAGAAAUGUUUGUAUUCAGUUGUAGCCCACCUAAUUGGACUGCUUUUAUUAGAUCUAAAAUCAAUUGUAUUGCCUAUGAUAAUUUUAUAACCUGGCACUAUCUACAAUGGUGUUCUUUCUUUGCAAUUUGAUGGUAUGCCUCACCAAGCAUGAUCCUAAUCUAAUAACUAUUAAACUUUUACAGAAUAGAUAGAUCCAGAAAUUUUCAUACCUAGAGGACGAUGCCUUCUUGGUGCUCCUUGCUUACAGCAGGUACACCUCCGGAAUUUGUCCUCCAAGUCUGGGUAUUUUGAUGCUUUUCUAUAUGUGAUGGGCGAAGGGAAAGUAAGGAGGGGUGUGAGGGAUGGCAGAGGAGUUUAACAUAUAUAGGUAGGGCAAAAGGGGAAGGCUGGGAAGCAGAUAUCUUUCCAGUUCUACCAUGUAUAAUUAUGUAUGGUGCAGAUAUAUUUCCUUUUUUCAUCAUACACAUACCUCAUAAUAAAUUAGAAAAGAUGUCAGAAAUCAUAACUUACUAAAAUAUUAAUUUGUUGUAUUAAUUAAUUUGCCAGGAAUCAUAACUUACUAUAAUUAUGCAUGCCAUAUAAAAACGAAAUAUCUUAUAUGUAUGUUUAAAUAUUGAUUCUAUUUUUAUUAUUGUUCAGUUUGAAAAGGUAAACAUGAACUUUCUAUUUAACUUAUGUGUAGUUAAUCAGUUCAACGUGUAAAAAGUUAAAUUAUCAAACAAAUAAUCUUAAAUGUUUUGUUCUGAAAUAUGGCAAUUAACAGCCAUAUGAUUUUGUUGUAUGCACAAUCAAAACACAGAUGCACCUAAUGCAUCAUCGAUCAUUUGCAAGGGAGCGUGGGUCAUUUGGGGACAUGGAACUGCUGCAGCCUAUCUGAGACAGAGCAAACUCCAGCGAAUUUGGCCAGCCAGGUACAUCAUCUAAACGACAAUACGGUAGCAAGUUGAACAAAAUUUGAAUUGAUUAGUAUAGUAGCUUAGUAGUAGUAGCUUCCUGUACUAUUAUUUAUGUCUAUCAAUCACUGCACCGGAUAUGCACUCCUGGGAUUGUAUAUGUAUGGGGGCCUAUGAUAUUGUGAAGGGUCUCACAUUUGUUAGGCUUGAUGAUAUUUGCACAAAUUGUGUAAGACAAACAGAUCCUCCUCCCCUCCUCGCUAGCAAGAUCCUCAUCCUCCUCCUCUCUAGUGGCUAAUCCUCCUCCUCUCCGAUACAGCAGCAACUGAUAACAGGCAACUGCAAGGAGCCAACACCUUUCACCCCCCUUCUACCACACCAUAAUCUGCUAUUGAUGAUGCUGAUAUUAAGUUGUUCAUUCCUUGCUGUUAUUAGUUGCUCAAUAUUUCCUGCUUUGUUGGUGGCUCACUACUUUGUGCUAGCUGCUUUGUUGUAUCGCAAUAGAAAAUUCACGGCGUCCACACUAACAUAUCUAAUAUUAAAGUGGUUUUGUUUCUUUUACUGUACGUACUGAUCAAUAAGCUGGGAUAUCCAUCUCUCAUUUUUGUUUCUAUAUUCAGGAUCACAAAAAAUAUAAGCAGCGUCUAUUAGAGUCCUGGAAUAUAAUGUAACAACUACAGAGGAAGAUCAAGGACAACUUAAAAAAUAAAGAAUAUAUGCAAGGUACGUGCCAUAUGAACGUCAUAUGUUUGUCGAGUAUUCUCUAGCUGGAAUGUGAUUAUCACCGAUGAAGAAAACCUCGUAUAGUAUAACAGUGCGUGUAUGGAUGGAGUUAUACUAUACGAGGUAGUAUAUGAUGCGAGGCACGCAAUGUCUUAGAAAACAUCUCCUGUUCUACUUUGAGUAUGUUGUGAACCUGCCAUGGUACAACACAAAAGUACUCUGGUUCAACUGGAGCACCAUUUACGGUCCAAACUGGUCUGGUCUAAAACCGUAAAAUUUAGAUAGAAUGUGAGAGAUUGAAAUAUAGGAGUUGACAUUUAGGUAUGCUGUUGGAGUUAAACAAGAUACUAGGGAGAACCUUUCUAGGGGAAUCCCCUAUGCUUAGAUUUAGGGGAGAUAGUUUGUAGGAGUUGUUGGACUUGCUCUAGCUCCCAUUCACAGCUCCUCUAACGGUUCCCCCCUACCCUAGCCACGUGACAUGUAUGGUCCAAAUUGGUCUGGUCUAGAACCGUAAAAUUUAGAUAGAAUGUAAUAUAAACAAACAACCAACAUAGCUAGUGGAUGCCACCAUAAAUCACUUUUGAAACUAUAUAAAUAUUUCAGAUAAUGUCAUCUGAUCAUCGGAUCAGCACUGGCAUUCAAAUAGAUUAUUACGCCAUGUAUAUAGCCAACUACAGCAGUCAACAAAUAUAACAGCAAAACCAACUUGUAGUAGUACCAAAACUACAAUUAGUUCUUAACUAUUCUAAACCCAAUUGUUUUUGGUAGUUUUCAUCCAUAACCAAACAUGACAAGCUGAUUGAAGUAAUCCUGACAGCUCUGCAUGCAUAGAAGCAUAUUUAGUUGUUCAAAACCCUCAAGGCCGCCGUAAUCUCCUGAGGGAUGUUUCCAGCAGCUAGAUUGUCUUUCACCAUAAGCAUCUGGACUACCAGUUGGCUCCUCAGCAUAAUUGGAUCCUAGAAUCAAUGAAACAAAUUCACCAUCAAACGCUGAAGUGGUUGGAUUAUAAAUGGCACAUUAAAACUCGUCGUAAAGAUAAUUACUGUAGUGUUCAUCCAGGUCAUGCUACGCAAAGAACCUAGCUGUUGGGCCAUCUCCUAUAGAACUAAGAAACCCGAGUCUUUGCUGUGACAAACAGAAUAAAAACUUGAGUGUUCUACAUACUGCAUCUUAUUCAUCUGAAAAAUUUAUUAAAUUACCGCCGAAAAUUGAAAGACAUGUUGUCUUGUCGCCAAUCCAUGAGCUCGGUGUUCCAUCCAAGGACCCUAGCCUGCAACACUUCAUUGAGUUCUUGCUUCAAAAUAGUGAUCUCCUUCAUCAUCUCUUUGUUGUGAGUGCUAUUUCCCACUUGUCGUACGUCUAGUGAUAGAUUAUAUACGAUAACCCUUUUCCUCAUCCGAUUUACCACAAGUAGACCAUACGAGGAGUCCGGGAUAGACAACGGAAGUAGAUACUACAGAAGGUCAACACAGGUUAAAUGAUAUCAGGAAAGGAAAAAUAAAUUAGGAAUAAAAAACUCUUACAAUUGUGGAGUUGAACACAUCAUAUCUAGGAAAGGGCUGUAGAACAGCAUUGUUGAUCAGCGUCGAGGUGCGUUGCCCUUGCGGCAUCCAGGAAUACCUUAGAGCUCGUGAUUGAGCAUGAAACUGCAAGUCAAAAUAAUGUUUUCCUCCAACCAUGUUGGUGCCUGCAUGCCUCUCUAGUUCAGCGCUCGCAAGUUUACGAACAGCGAGAUUGAAGCAUUCGGUAUGUAGGCUUGCUGAAGUAUGAAAUAGUGUGUCCUUCAGCUUUCUGAGGCUGAUUUCAAUCCAGUACGGUGUAUUGCUUCUUAUCCAGAUUGAGCUGCACGUAAAAACACAUAAAAAUGGUUAGCACUAUGAGUGGUACUUUAAAACAUAAAUUGUUCAUAUGGUAACAUUUUCUAGAUAAUCUAACAGCUAUGAGCAGAACCUACAAUUUUGAUAAACUAUAGAGCAUGAAAAAUUUUGCAGCACCUGCUAGCAAAAGCUAAAAUUCAAUAAAAAUUUCUUUGUAAGAAAAAAAAUAAUUUGUUAGAAAUUAAGAGUAUGAAAAUUUAGGUAACACCCAUUAUACCAAGUUUGUUGGCUGUUCAAAAACAAUAUUAAAUUGUUGUACAAUAUAGUAAGGACAUUAAGCUUUUCAACAUUUGUACUGCAAAUAAUUUUAGCAGAUUGUUAUUCAUUACACACGGUUGAUGUGCAACGGAAAUACUGCCAAAUCAUUUAACAUAAUUUCUUUUCUACUGAUGCACUCAAAAAGUAAGAUUUAAUCUAAAGAAAAACAAAUCAAGCAAUAUCAUACACCUAUAUGAAACAGAGUCUGCUGUGUACGACCUAGUUCUAAUGAGAUUUCUUUCGAUAAAAUAAACCUACAAUACCAUAACUUACUCUAGUGUCUGCUCAUCAUGAACGCCGUUCAUAAAGCCGAAUAUAUAUUCAAGUGCAUCUUCCACAAAAUGCCUUGGUGGGGGCAGAAGAUGCAGGGGCACGGGCAAAUCCUCCUCGGGGUCGGCCACAGCAUCGUGGAGCUGGAGGGUAGCCUCAUUGGGGUCGGGGGCAGCGGCAUCCAGGGGCCUGGGCACAGAAAUGCACUGGUAAGUGCGUGCUGCCACAACCUGGAUCGCCGGCGCAUUGUUUCCAAUGAUGGGCUCCAUCGCUGAUCGAUACGCGUGAGUGAUCGUUCACCGAGGUGUCUUGGCAAUUAGGAUGUGGUUGCAGCAAAAAUAUAAACAGAUAUAUUUUCAAUUGUUGUGAUGGCCGAACGAAGAGCAAGGAGAGGGAGGACAGAUGGCAGAGGAGAAUAACAUAUAUAGGUAGGCCUCGCGGGGAAUAACUGGGUAGCAAAUCAUGGCUGAUUAUAGUUCUACCAUAUAUACCAUUGUUUUCUACCAUGUAUACCAUUGUAUUCUACCAUAUAUAUACCAUUGGGGAUCGUGCAAAUCUAUUUCCUUUUUGCAUCAAAUGCACACCUGUUAAAAAUUAGAAAAUAUGUAAAAAAAUCAUAAGUUACUAAGAAGAAUAUAGUUCUACCAUAUAUACCAGUAUAAAUUAAAUAAAAAUCUUUUCAUUGCUUGCAUGCCAAGUUUAGCUACAGCAAAGUUAAAUUCACGGCAAUUAGGAUCUCGAUGCAGCAUANNNNNNNNNNNNNNNNNNNNNNNNNNNNNNNNNNNNNNNNNNNNNNNNNNNNNNNNNNNNNNNNNNNNNNNNNNNNNNNNNNNNNNNNNNNNNNNNNNNNNNNNNNNNNNNNNNNNNNNNNNNNNNNNNNNNNNNNNNNNNNNNNNNNNNNNNNNNNNNNNNNNNNNNNNNNNNNNNNNNNNNNNNNNNNNNNNNNNNNNNNNNNNNNNNNNNNNNNNNNNNNNNNNNNNNNNNNNNNNNNNNNNNNNNNNNNNNNNNNNNNNNNNNNNNNNNNNNNNNNNNNNNNNNNNNNNNNNNNNNNNNNNNNNNNNNNNNNNNNUAAACGUACUAUACUUGUAAUACAACUUACAUUCACUGCUAUAAAUCAGCAUCUGGUGUGACCCUAAGACAACAAACAAGAACAUAAUAUCGAAGAAUUCUGAGAACUUUUGGCCUGCCUAGAAAGCUAUAAAUAUUUGCAACAAAAAGGCACCAAAAAUCUAUGUUCUGCCACAUAGAGAUCCCCAAAUUCCUUGCAGUUUACCUGCUCAUCCCUAAUUCCUAGCGUGGCAGAGGUCAAAGCAGCGGGCGAGGGAGAGGAAGUGAUAGGGGGUUUUGAGCUUCAUGCGGGCAUUGAGAGAUGUGACGAUUUCCGCUUUGUACCUCUUAGAGGAAAAUGACAGUAGGUGCAGAAACAUUUGGAGGAACAAUGCUGCCACCGAAGGAUGUAAAUAUCAUGUGCACACACAUGCAUUUGCCUAGUUUAGGAAACCAUGAAACCAUGGCGACUCAUCUCAUCUAGCGUCAAGCCCUACUACAGAAUGCCUCCGGUUCACCUGGAGCAACAAACCUGCUCCUGACCGCACGGGUAUUAUAGUACAAAAUAUACAUAGAAUUCAAAAUUAAUAGAUAGAACCAAAACAGGCAGACAACAUUGAAGCGAACAGGAAGCUAGAGGGAUCCAUCAAAUCCUUUAUUCCCUGAAUAUUUAUAUAAUCCAAUACAUUAUUCAUAUUGCCAAAAGGAUAAAUCUAUAUUUGAUCCCUACCAAAGUUCUAUUAGCUUAUUGUAUUUGCGAAAUUUGACUAUGCAUCAGUCCAUUGUCAUUCGGCCAAAAACCUCAAGGACGCUGUAAUUUCAGCUGGGAUGUUUCCAUAUGCUUCAUUGCCUUUGAUCAUCAGCAUCUGAACCAGCAACUGCUUUCUGAGCUGCAUUGAAUCCUAGAAAACAAAAACAAAAAAUUAUUAACUUGUUGAAAAAUUAAUUGCAAAACAGACAUACGUGAUAUGAAGAACAUAAAUUUAUAAUUAACAAAGCUCUGGAUUCCAUUAAACUUGUUAUAUAUGCUCGUACCGAAGUCCUGGAAAUGUUAUGCCCGCCAGUAUCAUCUUGGUAAGACAUCUCCUGUAGGACUUUCAAUCCAGAGUCUAGGCUGUAACCAAAAGUCUACAUAUAUUAGAACCUAACACUCUGGCUAUAAUAUGCACGAUCAAUUUAAACAAUUACAGCGGGGCUGUAAUAAAUGUGUGAUCUUGUGGCCAAUCCACGAGAUGGGGAUUCAAACCAGGCCUCCACUGUUGCAACACACUACCAAAUUCUUGCAAAACUAUACGUGCUUCCUUCUUAAGUUCCUUGUCAUGAAAGUCCUCUGAGCCUAAGAAUGACUCAUUGGAAUGAUCAAUCAGGAGAGUCCUCCUAUUUUCAAUAUUAACUACAAUGAGGCCAUAGGAGGAAUCCACCAAAUACAACGGCAAUAGGUACCGCAAUAGGUAUACAAAGUUAAUGGUGAACAGAAAGUAUACAAACCAAAUGUUAAGAAUGAAAAUCCUUACAAUGGACGGGGUCAUGAGCACAUCGUAUUUCGGCAAAGGCCAUACAAUGACAUUGUUAAUCAACAAGUUGGUGCGUUCAGCUUGGCCUAAGCCAGUCUGAAUCAGCACCCGUGCUAGGCGAUGGAAUCGCAAAUCAAACAUAUGUGUGGAGCCAACAAAGUCUGUUCCUGCAUUCCUCUGUAUCGCGUCGCUAGUAAGUUUACGCACUGCAAGAUCAAAGCAGUUCGGAUUGACCCAUGUAUCAACUCGCAUAGUGUCUUGGAUAGUCCGUAGGCUUAGCUCGAUCACGAAUGGACGAGGGCUCCUUAUCCAUAUUGUGCUGCAAACAAAACACCAUGAUAGCAAAGCUGUUAGAAAAGUAAGGGUAUCAAAAUAAUGUAAUACUUCAAUGUGUGUGCAAACAAUAGUACAUUUUUUCCAAACUUUAGUAAGGUCUGCAAUGUAUGUAUAUUCUAAUUGGAAUUGUAGCGUUAUUUCAGGAGAGAAGUACUAUUCAUUGAGAUAACCAAAGCUAUUCUGACAGUUAUGAACAAAUCUGUAGAUGGCACAUGUAUCAUACACGAGGACCCGUUGCAAUAUACUACCGUUCAUAAAAACAUGGUGGUUUAAAAUAACGUGGUAUGGAUGGUAUUAUCAUGGGGUAAUGUAAAAGGAUAAUAUUAGCACAUGGCCAUUUUUUUGCAAUCACUACUAUAGAUUUUAAGAACCUUAUGCAUUUAGAAUUGAUAGCAUGAUCCUAACAAGUAAAUGCAUGCAAGAAAUUAUGAACGUGGCCAACUAAUCGUCAGUGAUCUGCAGCUAACUAAUCGUCGGUGAAAGAACUGGUUUUUACUCAGGUUUAAAAUAAAAAUACAAUAAUAAAAACUAUCAUGGCAGUGAUCUGCAGCUAACAAUUGCAAUUAAAGUAUAUAGAUGAAGUUUAGGGCUGGCAGAACAUACUCUAAUUCCUCCUCGACUGAUGACACCAUGACGUAGUUGUAUAUGUACUCGACUGCGUCGUCCACUCCAUAAAAAAUCGGCAUUGCAGCCAUUACCGCGGGCAGAAAGUCGUCUUAGCACCAGGAUGAGCGAGCGAGGUGGCAUUAGAUUAUGGUGGACUCACAGAAGGGCCAUAUAUAUGAUAGUCGGAGGGGAAUUGUCCUUCCAACACGUCGGUGAGGCAUUAUAAUAUUGUAUGGAUUGGAAGGUGCCCAUAUCAUUCCAUCCGUGCAUGUAUCCAUUACAAAACCUUGCUGAUUAACGGACAAGCAUUUAUUUUUAUUCCAUACUACAAUAGGCAAAUAAAUAAACGCCGAUUAUAAUUCUAUUAUAUACGUCUCCCUUUCCAUAUCGGACCAAGGAGGAUUUAACUUCCCUUAUAAGCAAAUCCGUCUAAGGGAAAAUUAAUGGCCAAACUGGGAAACCAAUUCAACGUAUGGUAGGCCACACCGUUAGAUUGGAUACUACAUCGUAUUAGAAGGAAAUGACUUUAAUUAAUCGUUGUCAUGUCCUCAUCAGGUGGCCCAUAUCCUUCCAUAAAAAUAAGUUGUCAUAACAAAAACUAUAGGCAUGACGAUAUAACCCUAGACAUGACUAUAUAUAUAUUUUUAGUGGUUCAACACCUAUAUCUUUACCAUGUGGAAAAAUAUAUAUCUUUACCCUUAAUUGAAUUAUGCAACUACAACCCACUUCUUUUACAUGUAUUGUUUCAUAUUAUUAACGCACGGGUAUAUCUCCAUGUAGAGAAAAAAUUGAGUUAUAAAAUACGUUUUUGCUGUAGCACGUCUAGAUGUACUCUAAGUAGUAUUGCACAUAUAAAUCACACGUAAUUGGUGUGGGUAGCUUUUUUCUUUAGUUUUAUGUUUGAUUCCCUCAUAUCAAUGUGGAAUAACUAAGACACAUAUAGUUAAGCCCUAGAGAUACACAAAGUGCGCCUUAUAUAAAGAAACAUUCCCGCAAAUCAUGUAUAUAGUUUACUUGAUCUAUAAAAUACAGCAGUAGUGAGUCUUGUCACAAUAUAAUAGUGCAUGAAACAUUUCACAUUGGCCUUUUAUUCGCGCACAUCUCUUAAGAUCAAGUAAGAGUUUAUAAUGACCAUAGUCUUGAGAACAAUAAAAGUCGUAGAGGAAGAAAGGAAGCAAAUAUUAUUUGAUAUAUAUUAAAACUGGAACAUAAUCCUUACAUACACGCCAUGCGCGCACCAUCAUGUUAGGAUCGACAUGGCAUAAAUUGAGGAGGGAUAAGUGAGGGAGAACAUGGACCAGAGGACUCGGGCGGAUGCGUGGAUGCGCGUGUUGUUAUCCCAGGAUAAUGCCUGUGUUGGAUAUGCAUAUUCAGUCGUCCGAAACCAUCAAGGAUGCUCUAAUUUCGGCUGUGAUACUUCCGACGCCCAUUGUUACUAUCUUGAACAACACGAUUGACGUACGCACGUGUUUCAUCAAGUGUCGUCAGGCUGGCUUCAUGGAUAUCUACAAUCAGUGUUAUAUAGUAGUGACGUACUUUUACAUAAAAAACAUAUUGAAAACAAAUUUGAAAUUUAACGCAGCCCCUACCUUGUAGAUAAUGAUGAUCAUCAUUAAUAUUGGGAGAGAAGAAGAAUGUGCUCUCCCUCAUAGUUUGCAAGCAACGCUGCCUCUGAUUUACCUGUAUGUAAGUUACAGCAAACUUCUCGAACAAAUUAUCAGUGCAUUGCAAAUGCAAGAACUGAGACCCAACGUGCUCUUCACGUACACGUAAGAAAAUUAUCUGCCGGCUACAAACAAAAACAAAAGUGACUAUCAUUGCAACAAUAGAAUUACAAAAAGAAGCAUAUGGUAAUCUCAUAUUAUAAUUGGCGCUUACUGAAAGUUCAUGAGGCCAAUCUCGAGGGAAGGGACGCGGCGCCUAUAUAUUGAAUCCCACUUAAAUUCUAUCUGACCAACGUAGGCAAGGAUAGCAACCACAUCUGAAAAUAUGAAAUCAUAAUGAGAUUCUGAGUUGUACGCAGUAAUAUGCAAAAACAACUAACUAAUUUAUGCACCCGUGAUGGUUUUGUCCCGUUGCUGAAAGAUUUCUCCAAACUGUGGGAAGCACGGUGGGCAAAUUGUCGACGUUAUCUGGUGCGCCGACAUCGUAACCUCUGUCGUAGAACUUAGUGUGGUGACAAAGUCCAUGGCUAGGUACCAGAAAUGUCCAGCUGGCAUUUCGGUGGGGUUGAACCCGACGUAAUUGAAAUCAUAUGUCCUACCGGUUUCUAGCACCCUGUUGAAACGGAUUGCCUGGCUGUUGUAUGCAAUCGCUUCCAUCUUUGUUCCCUAAUAUAUUUUCAUGGAACAUAACAACAAUGAGCAAAAAACAUGUUUAUCAAAAUUGUAUUAAAAAAAUGUGGGCUAAAAAGCAUUCUUACAUGCCGAUCGAGUAGUAUGCACUGAAGGUACAAGUUUCCCAUGCCAUUCUCUUUGAUGUGACCCUUCCACAUGACCCUAGCUUGAAUAAUCCAGCAAUUAUGAUAUAUGUGUUCCAUUUGGACGUUCCGAAAAUGCAUGUUCCUGUGCGUAUAAAGAAACAUGUUGGAUCAGGUAAAACUGUUUUCCAAGGGGAGCAUAAAAUUUAGCAGUCAAGGAGCAUAACAUUCUAGUGGCCCAACAUUAAUCCUGACAAAUUUGUACAUAUUAUUCAUGUUCUGCUUAUUUGUUUUCUUCUUGCAAAAAGAUGUAUUGCAUAUGGGAUAAAAAUGGUUUUGAAAACAUGCACUACCCAAUGGUUACAGCAAGACAUCAAUCUAUUAGCUUACAAAAAAUAUAUAAAUGAAUGCUAAUCAAAUAGUAAUAUACUCAGGUGAUUAAGUUAGUGCUUGCUACAUCUGGUUUGUACAUGAUGGAAAAAAUAAGAUUAUGUAAUUCAGACUCACUGUCCUUCUGUUUUUAACUAAUAUGCAAGAUAUAAACAAGCUGACAAUAGAUGAUUUGAUUCCCACGCCUAUUACUAUGUUCUAGUGUAUCCCAUGUACUAAAUCUAUUAAGAAAUAAGAACAAGCGGCAAAAACAAUGGUGAUUAUUUAAUGCAAAAAACCAGUUAUAUAGUGAUGGCAAAUAGACAUACUAAAAGUUUAUUCUAUCUUGCCUGUUUAUCCGAGGAGAGAUGAGUUGACUGAUGACAGGAGCUGGCGGCGGUGCCACCACCCUCUUAGAUGUGACUAGUAAAAUGCCCGUGCGUUGCCACGGGCUAUUAGAAACAUUAAUGGUUGCAUUGGUAAACAUAAUACAUGCCAAAUUUUAUAUGUAUAGAAAAAGAUAUAGCUAGUAAUAGACUAAAAAUAGUUGAAAUCCACUUCAAACCAACGAAUGUAUGAAUCACACAUAUAACAUUCGUCAGUUCUUCUCCGGCUGGAAAUGGACCUUGAUACGCUAUUGCCGCCGCAUUAUAUUGCUCCACGGAACCCAUCAGCCUCCUUCUCGCUAGCGCCGAGGAACCCCAUUUUUGCCUCAUUCUCGUUGGCAUCGAGGGACCGCAUUUGGCCAUUUCUGCCGCUACUUCCACCAACAUCUUCUAUAACAUGUCCCCUACCGCCCCUGACAUCUUCUCCGCGAGCGCCGUCAUGAAGCCAUGUCCACCAUGUUUCACUUCACCUUACAUUACGCCUCACGUAUCACAAGUACUAAUAACCAACUAUGCAUAUUAGUAAAAUACAGGAAUGGAUCUGUAGUACAUCAAUAUCUACACAACAAAUUUGUUUUGCCGAGCGACUUGUAUGCUUGCCUUCCCAAAACCAAUCUGACACAUGCUGAUCGAACCCUUUGGUCCAUAGACAAAUUAUAGUAAUUAUGCUCUCAAAAGGAGAAUUGACAGAGAUAAAGAAAAAAAGUGAAAUCCAAUAGCAAAAUUUUAAAACACACGUAUCCUCAUACAACUUCGGCAUCAAAUAAGCCAGCCAAACAACAUAAAUAAUAACUCAAAGUUACCAUUUUGAACCUAGCUUGUUUGAAUUCCAAGUGUUUGGCCUUUAUAUAGUCCCUUGAGCCUUGUAAAUCAUGGCUGUUGGGAGACUGUACAACAACUCCACCAUGAACAAUUCAACAUAUUUACAAGCACCUAUUCUUGUACGAAAUUCUUAUCAGAAGCUUAUUGCAAUGCUUUAGGUGUUGCCCAAAGGCCCACUAUUUUAGUAGCAUUCCGUUUACUCCUUUCCCAACGUGACCACUUUCUACCAGUUCACAGAGUUAGUGACGAGAAUCUAGUGAUUGCAGCCGAUUUAAGAAAUACUAUGUGUAGGUCGUUGGCAGCCCACCACACCUGUUAGAGCUCACGGAGCCAUUGUUGAGCUAGGACUGCAAAAUACAUGAAAGUUUACCAACUUAAUUGGUUACCCUUGCGAUAUACAUAGCUAAGUUUUGAACUAUAUAGAUAGAGUGCUUAAUCAUAAUUACUGCAAAUCUGAAGUUGCACAAUUCCAAUUAAAUUUGAUGCAUGCGAGAUGACUUACCUUCUUCAUGACCCUGGUAGUUGUCACUGAGCAUUGCGAUAAUUGCAACACUCCAAAUAAAUUCAAUGCCGAAGAGAUGAGUUGCCUUCUUGGCAAUGAACCCUCAAUAGUGAAUUUCUAAGGUCCCUGAAUGAACAUAUGUGGAAGAUAUUCUACAGUUCUAGAUAUAUGGCACAACCUCAGUUACAGAAUGGUUAGUAUACUUACAAUCUAACUGAGAGGCCCCACAUAUGCAAAUUCAGACCUCCGAUAGGAAACACUGAAUCUCAGCAGGAAAGAUCAAAUACAUGCAUCCCUGUUCGAGGUAUUAAUAUGGGUAAUUUUUAAUUGAUGCGCUAGAUGGUAUCAUCAUCCAAUUAUAAAAGAACUCGUGAUUAUAAGAAAAUCUUACUAUAUUCCAUCAAAAUAUACAAUCCUGUGAGGCUAAGAUAACAGCAAGAGCAUAAAAUUCUACAAAAAAAACAACUUGUCACGACAUUUUAGAAAUAGUUAAUAUUUUCUCACUGGAAAUGUCUAUUUGUGAGUUGUACACUUAACAUGGAAUAUACUGAUCUAUUUGUUGACUUCUUAGUUUCAGAUGUUCGUAUGCGACUUUAUAUUUGCUCUGGGUAAAGAAUGAGCAAAAUAUCUUUUCUUGAAUAUAGCUUCUUAUAC